rnacentral:lncRNA from 1 species
AAAACAUGAGUUAUAUUGUUAGAUAAACUGAUACAUUAUAUUAACAUGUCUAUCACAUAGAGUAUCAUAUAAAGUAUAUAUAUUAUUAGUUCACUACAUUUAUCUUUAUGGUAAAGAGCAUAUUCUAUUUCGAUAGGGUCAUCUACUAAUAUUAUCAAUAGCUUAUUAUCAUAUCGACAAUUUAUCAUUUAGUAAAGAAGUAUAACUAGAAAUAAACUGAUCGUAAUAUUAUAUAUGCCAUGCGGAUCGUUGUAUAUACAGAAUUAUUGUAAUCCAAUCCAAAUUUUUUUUUUUUUUGGUAUGCUUUAGGUUAAGAGACAAGUAGAAGAUUUAAUUUGGACCAUCGUCUAUGUGACCUGUAUGAAACCCUAAAGAACCUGUUAAGCUUUAAGAUUUGGGACUAUAAAAUAUAUGAACCUGUAUAUAUAUCACGCUUGCCCUCAAAACAUAGGACAUUGAGUUCCCUUGAGGAUUCUGUACAGCACAUUCUUUUUCCUACUUUUUCAUUAAAAUACAAGGCAAAAUGCAUGAUCAAACUUGACCUUGAUUUUCCUUGCUGCUACAAAAUUGCAAAACCUAAUUAUACUGCCGACGAAAGAGAAAAAAAACAAGAAAAACCUGACUUUAUAUAUUUUUAGCAUCUGCAUCAAGAAUUAAGAAUAAAAAUAGAGAAAAAUGUUUCUUUAACAACCGAAGAAACUUUGAGAGUCUCUUAAGUCACUUAAUAGUACGGUUUAGUGAUAAUUUUUUCAUUUGUAAACGAAUGGUCUUGAGUUUGAAUCUCGUAAAAGAUGAGUUCGAUAUCAAAUUAUUCUUGUAAUGCAAAUAUGUUGUAGUAUAAAUAAAAAAAAUAACACAUUGUAGCUAUCUACUCAUGUUGAGAAUAUAGUUACUUAAGUUUGGCUGUUUAGUUUUAGAAACCCUAACCACUGUCUUAACAAUUUCUUAAUUGGAUGAUUAUAUUAUAUUAAACAGGUGACCGACACCUACUAGCUUACAAGAUGACAUUGUUAGCAUCAUUCGAUUUUAAGUUAACAUUUGAACUGUUAGAUAUUUUCCUACUUUUUCCCAAUUAAGCAUGAAAUUUAACACACUUUUGUGAGAAGUCAAUAAUAUUUGCGUGUGGGGAAGAACUAUGCCAACCUUUUAUUAGCAUAUUCAAUCUUGACGGAGCUGGUCCCAUAGGAUAAGUUUUCCUGGAAGACAACAACACAUCAAAGUAGUUUCUAUUUUAGAGAUUGAAUAAAAAUUUUAUUAACAACGACCAAUAAUACAUAAGGUGAACAUGUUAAACGUAAUCAAGAGAUUACAUACGCUAAAUAAAGCAUUACAAAUUUAUAGUUACAAACUCAUGAGCGUCAUACAAUUCCUUAGUUACGAAGGACCCUACCACAAAAAAGAUAAUGCCCUCAAGGACUAAACCUUGCAAAUUGUCGAACUACCGUAAAGGUACCAUGAGAAAAAGACUGCACAGACCUCUGAUGAUCUUGCAACUGUCCGCAAAGAAGCACUGCUAUGAGUCACCUCUAACAAGUAUCAAACUUCCUCUUCACAAUCAUUUGACAUGUGCACAAUACCACACAAGAAACCCAAAACCAACUCCCUCGACUCUGAACAAUAGCCAUCACUCAAAGAUUUGAGUUUGAGCAGUAAGUCAUAGGCGCUACAAAGACUUUCUCAAGAGAGCGAGAGCGAUCAUAACCAAAAAAUAUAGAUAGUCAGAAGAUACGAUAAACAUAAAGGAAAAGGGAAGGAAGAGAUUGUCGCUAAGACCAAACAGGGUCCGCGACGAAGGGUUUUUCUCUCUAUCGGCUAUAUAUCGCAUGAGUUGAAGUUAACACAUGCAAUAAGAAAAUCACUAGCGAAUGCACUACGACUAACUAAACUGAAAUAUUGGUUUUUUCAAUAUUUUGUUUCACAUAAUUUUUUUUGACCUUACGUGGUUAAGAACAGUUAUUCAGGAGUUCUUGGUACCGGCCAAGCAAAAAUAAUAUGAAUAGCGAGCCAUCUACACGAGGCAAAUGCUUGUUCUUAUGCUUUUUUAAUAUAGGGCGGUGACUAACUAAAACAUUGAUUUAUAGAGCCAUAUUUUGCUAAGAUAAAACACACCAUUAAGGCUUGUUUAGUCAGUUGUCUCAAACUGACAAGAAAGGCAGUUGAGAUGUAAACAUGUGAGUUUUUAGGUGGAAGCUUCUAUCAUAUAUAUGUUCACGAUUUAAUAUCGAACUAACUAUAAAUAUAUCGGCAUUGCAUUCAUAUGAGCUGAGCUUAAGACCAGCGAUCAACUAAGUGAAGAUCGGAUGUUGCUUGACCAACUCAUGAUGUGCAUAUUGUUUAUGCUUGAUUCACAUUUUCAUUUUUCUGGAAAAUGAUACGAUAUUCAUUACAAUGAAGAGAAUACAUAAAAAUGAUCAGGUGUAAAAAAUAUCAAUUCGUUAAAACCUUGCUGGGAUUCCUAAACCCUAAUUCACACUUGAGAAAAAGGGUUUUUCUUGUUCUUUCCCCCCAGGAGAUUUUAGGGUUUCUUAAAGUUCAUUUGGGAGUUUGAUUUAGUAAUUGUCAAGGUAUUCCUAAAUCUCAUUGGAUUCUAUUUAAUCAUAUUCCAUGCUUGGGUGACUAAUCUGAACUCUUUUAAACUUUUUAAAGUAGUCUUAAGGGGCCAAAGACAAAGGCUUAUCUUCCAAAGCACUAUUAUCUUAUUCUAUAUUCUCCACUUUAAGCGAAGCCUUGUGCAAUGCUCAAAAACCAAGUGCAAAGUAUAUGAAAUUUGAAAAACGAUUCUGUAUAAGUAAGCUAAUACAAGCUUAGAAUUCGUUAUCAAUCAUUAAAUCAUCCCAUAGAAGUUAUUAUGUGCUAUUUAUACAAAAACACUAAUUUUUUAAAUCGAGCCUUUCACGACAAUCAAAUUGUCAAAUCACAAUGCAUGUUUUGUACUUCCAUACCCUAAUAAUUUAAAGGGGUACCUAUAUACAAGCGUGUUUACAAUACAUACGGUGGAUGACCAGAUUCAAAAACCAAUAAAUUCAAGUACAACAUUUUAAUUAUCAUUUUUGUGGAUGACUCCCUCAUAAUUUAAACUUAAGACAUUUUUUAAUGUUGAGAAGAGAAGUAUCACUAAAUGAAUAGUUGAACGAUAACUUAAUUAGCUCUAUAGUACUAAACAUUGCCAUAUAUGAUCAGGAGUAAGGCAUGAAUUCAGGUGUCUGUACAGGUAGGUUCACAAAACAAAACAAUAAAUGAUGAACAUGGACAACAUGUGAAGUCAUGCAGAUGGAGAUGGACUGUACAUGCAUUGCAGUGAGCAGAUAAUAAUAAUAAUGAAUAGUUUAAGAAGCAGAGACGUGUUAUGUAGUCUAUGUAUCUGAAAUGUGAAGCAAUCUGACAUUUCAACCUAUAGCUAGGUAUAUGAUCGAGUCCUCAGCCUCCUGCAUUCACUGUACCAACCAAUCCUGCUACUGCUAAACAUGAUUGAUCCUGCUCUAAGAAAUGGAACUGGAUCCUCCUUGAGCUCAGGAUGAGGAUCCUUCUGAGCAGUCCAUUCGGACCGUUGAAAUUUAAUCCAACGGCUUCAAAUAGGGGGUUCCUCUAAAAGUUAUAAUAAUUACAGCCGUUGGAUCAAGUUUGAACGGUCCGGAUGGGUUACUCAUGAAGAUCCCCAUCCUGAGCUCAGAAGAGGAUCCAGUUCCCUAAGAAAUGCAAAUGCCGCAAGCUGACAUAUUAGUUGACUAUAAUAUAUACAUACUCUCUCGGUCUUUCACCUAUAGCUAGUAGCUUAUUGGUUCUUGUAUUGUGAAACCCUAAUGAGAUAUUUACUUACAUAACGGGAAGUAAAAAAUCGAGAAACUUAUGAAUAAAAGAAAUGUGGAAUGAGAACUGGAUACAACGUACUACUUUCCUUAGUUGAUGUAAUUAUUGGUUUUGACGAUAUUGGGUUAUAGAUUAUAAGAUGAAAUUCACGUACCUAAUAAAUGCUGAAAAGUCAGGAAUUGUAGUGAUUUACUUUGCUCGAGUACCAAUUCAUGAUAAGUAAUAACAUGCAAUAGGUUAAACAUCGGCCAUCUUGUGAACGAGAGUUUAUACAAACACUUAGGUAUUGUUUGGUAUGCAGAUGGGAUGAGACAAAAUGGAAUCGGAUGGGAUAGGACGGAACGGAACGGACAGGAAGCAAAGAUGUCCUCGGAUGGAAACAAGGAGGAAGAAAAAGGAGACGGAGAGGUUAUAAUUUUGUGUUCCAUGGAUGUGGAACGAGUCGUUCCAGGGGAUGAGGGCGAAUGAAAAUUCACUCAAAAUUAGUCCUGGGAAACAACGCGUUCCACCCGUUUUAGGCGCACCAAACGUGGGACGGAACGUCUCGUUCCCCUUUAUUCCGUCCCGUUCCACGUACCAAACGGUACCUUAAUCAACAGUUACAAAACAAAAAAUCAACUUCAACGGAUCCAUGCCCAUGCACGGUGCACCCAGAUUGCAUUUUCCCCCGAGAAAUAAUUUUCAAUUUUAUUUUCAAAAACAGAUGAUAUAUUAGUAUAUUAUCAGGGGUAUUUUGGGGUCAGGAGCGUAUACAAUUUGGUACGGAGUUGCAGUCUGUUUCCUUGACUAUUCCGACCUACUAAAUUUGAACAUCCCAACCUCAAUGAUUAAAAAAAAAAAUAGAAAUUCACAAAGCUCAAGGAAAGAAAAAUUUGCAAAUUUCAUGAAAUGAUUAAAUAUUCAUAAAUAUGAGAAAUUUUUAAUUAUGAUCGAAAUACGGAUGGUACACCACGUGUUUUUAUGUAAGUGAUGAAAAAUUUUAUUUUUUAAGUUAUUAACUUUUUAACACAUGUAUCCCACCAUUUAUAUAACGACAUGUAACGUAUCAUUCCGUAUGACGAUCACACUACAAAAUCUUUCCAUAACUAGGGCAUCAAAAGGUCUUUGGUUAAUUUGCUGUCCAGUCUGUUCAUUUGACCUUUGAACCCCCCCCUUUUAUGCUUUCCUUUCACAAUUUGUGCUCAACAUUUCUUCAAGGUCACCUGAUUAAUUGUCCCCCAUGUAAUCAUAACCCCUUUUUGUAUUUAAAUACAUUUAUUUUAUUUAAAAAUGGAUGUUUGACUAACAAAAACGUUUUUUGUCGUAAGAAAACGUUGUUAUUUCUUCUUAAAAUAAUGCCAAGAAGGGAAUACGAAUUUGUAAACUCUCAAGUUCACACUUUUUUUUCGUAAUUUGGAAUAUAAUCAUGUUGAACAAAAUAUUAUAAAUUCUCUAGAGAAAAUGAAAAUACCGAAAAUAGGGUCUUGUGUUAAAUGCUAAACCUGAUUAAGUUUCAGAUUGUCUGUCACCCUCGGCACGCAUUUAGACAUCACUAUAAAGGAUUAAAACAAAUAAAAAGAAGGGAAAGAGAGAAAUUUGAAGAAACAGCAAAAGAAAGCUUCAAUUUUUUUCAUGCUUCUGUUUUACUGUAUGUAAUGUUGUAAGGCAGUCUCUCUCUCUCUCCCUCCUCCUCAUCACCUACCACUGACAACUCCACCCCUUCUUAUUAACCCCACCACCACCAUUUGCUCUCUCCAGAAUUCCAUGUGCCUCUUCUCUUCUCCAUUCCCCUUGGACUGCACAGACACACAUUAGCCUCUGUUCUUGUGAGUUGUGAACCCCCAUUUUUGUUUGGAGUUUUUCAAAGGGGCAAGUGCUUGUGGGGAAGAGUGUUGCUCUGCCUCUGUCUCACCAUCUGAGCUUGGAUACAAAAACCUAUUUCCCAAUUGAGAAAACCCAGUAAGGAACCCCACCAAUAUUUACAUUACAAAUAAUGGGAUUGAUUUGGUUCUGUGGCAGCAGCCCCAUUUCCAAGCUGGUUUUUUCUGGGUUCUUUGGAGAUCUAGAAGAUUGAGUUGAAGAAGCCUUUCAAAUUGAAUUUGAAGAAUAAAGGUACCGAUUCAGAAACUUCCAGUGUAUGGAGCCUCUCUAUAUGGUUACUUUUGCUGCAUUUAUAUACAUUAUAUAUAUAUAUAUACAUUAUAUAUAUAUACAUAUAUAUAUAUAUAUAUUCCCUGUUUGUUUGCUGAGCUAAAUGUGGAAACGAUUAGGAAAUGGAGUUUCUGAAGAUUUUACUGUUCUUGUUGUUAACCUGUAGAAUGUUAAAAGUUCAUGCUUGUUUCAACUUUUGUGGGUAAUGUAGAACUGGACUGAGCUAAGCCAAGCGGUUGUUGUAUUAGGCUUAUUGGGUUUCUGCAGUUAUUGGUUUAAUUGGGUUGGGUAAUAAAUGUUUAAAGUUUUGGUCUUUUCGAUUGUGUAUAUAUUGGACAAUAUGGAAUGAUGUGGGAAAUGCAUUAGUUGGUCCUGUUGUUAAUAUGUUUUCACUGUAUGAAAGUGGGUGGAAUUGGAAAGGAGAAAUCUUUGUGCAUUUUUUCCUACUUUUCCUUUGGUUUGUAGUUUGAAUGUCAUAUUGAGGCUGAGUUUGUUUCCGUGAUCACUUUGGUGUUAUGUGAUCUGCGUAGUCUUUGUGAGAUUGUGGAUUGUGGUUGAGUCCGUUUCCCUGACCAUGUUGGUUUUCCGCUCUCUCUCUCUCUCGCACUACAUAUUUGUUUCGUAGCACACUAACUUCUACCGCUUUGUUUACUUUUAUUAUGUUCCCAAUUUGUGAAUAUGUGUUUUGUCUUUGAAAAGAAAAAAAUUGAUGGCAUUGAAAGAGGUGAAAUUUUACAUAGACAAGCAGUUAAAUUCAGUAACAAAAUGGUAGAUAUGCAAAAGAUAGAGUUUUUUAUGCAUGGAAUUGGAGUUUCUAAUUUCUUUGUUUUGAACUCUGCAGGGUCCUUUUUAUCAAGAGUAAAUGGCAUCUGGUCUUGAUACUGUAUUAACCAAGAAGACAUUUGUCUUCGGUUUAAAGGUUUGGGUAUUAACGGGGAUCAUUGUGGGAGUUUUUAUAGUGAUGAUUCUUGCGGUGAUAUCAAUUUGUCUUACUUCGCGAAAGAGAUCCAGAAAGUCUACUGACAUGCUUCCUCUGCGCAGAAUUCCAAAUGAUUCAAAGGAAAUCAAAGAGAUUAGGGUAGAUCAAGCUUGUGCAAAUAACUACGUACCCCGUAGUAGUUCUUUUCUCACCCUUGGCGAUAAAUUCAGUGACAGAGAGUCUGAGAAAGUUUUGAUCCAUAAGAAUGGAGAUGGUAGCAGUCGAUCAGGCUCAUUUAACAAUGGGGAGAAGGAAAAUGUUGGUUCUCAAUCUGGAGAUGAGUGUGGUGCAGCUUAUAUGUAUGAGCCUUCUUCACAGCCUAUAACUGCACCUUCACCUCUAUCUGGUCUACCUGAAUUCUCUCGCCUUGGUUGGGGUCACUGGUUUACAUUAAGGGACCUUGAGUUCGCAACAGGUCGGUUUUCAAAGGAAAAUGUCAUUGGUGAGGGUGGAUAUGGAGUUGUUUAUCGGGGUAAUCUGAUUAAUGGAUCUCCUGUGGCUGUGAAGAAGCUACUCAACAACCUGUAAGAUGCAUCUUAUUUCAGUAGCUUUAUGGAUUUCUGUUUUUUCUAUCUUCUGUUUUCCUUACAAUUCAAUUGCUUGGGCUUAUAACAUAUAUAUUUUCAAUCAUCACACAGAGGACAAGCAGAGAAGGAAUUCAGAGUGGAAGUUGAGGCUAUUGGGCAUGUACGACACAAAAACUUGGUUCGACUUUUGGGAUACUGCAUCGAAGGAACCCACAGGUAUUUCUCUGUAAUUUUAUGUAAUGACUUCUACAUGGUAAAAUACAGGCAGUCAUGUUAUUAUUUGCUGAGCACCUUGUUUGGAUAAAAUAGAGAGUACUAUGUCACAUCCUUAGUUACAUGUAUAAUCCAUUCAUACUUAAAACAUGUGUGUUUUGUUCAGGUUGCUGGUUUAUGAAUAUGUCAACAACGGAAAUUUGGAGCAAUGGCUUCAUGGAGCGAUGCGUCAUCAUGGAUAUCUCACAUGGGAGGCACGCAUGAAAGUUCUCCUUGGCACCGCUAAAGCGUAGGUCUUCCUAUACCUUUGUUUGAGUUUUUCAUCCUUGUGGUUUAUCUUUUUCUGACUCUUUUUUUCACAUAUUUCAGGCUGGCUUAUUUGCAUGAGGCCAUUGAACCCAAAGUUGUGCAUCGAGACAUUAAGUCGAGCAAUAUCUUACUUGAUGAUGAUUUCAAUGCUAAGAUAUCUGAUUUUGGUCUGGCAAAGUUGCUAGGUGCCGGGAAGAGUCAUAUUACAACUAGAGUUAUGGGUACCUUUGGGUGAGUACCUUUUCUCCCUUAGGAACAGUUGCAAUUUCUUGUACGAAGAUUCUUGUGUUGGUAGAAGAACACUAUAUCAUAAUUCUAGAGUAAUCCUUUCUUAUCGGUUCCUUUCAUCAUUCUGUUUUUCAGAUAUGUGGCCCCAGAAUAUGCCAACUCUGGCCUUCUAAAUGAGAAGAGUGAUGUUUAUAGCUUUGGGGUUGUGAUUUUGGAAGCAAUCACUGGAAGAGAUCCGGUGGAUUAUGGUCGGCCAGCACAAGAGGUAUGACAAAAUUGUUACUGUUUUGAAGUGAGAAUUUGGAGAUCAAAUAUGCAUCUUAGUUUUGCAUUCGUAUAUUGAUUAGUUAAGGAUGCAUGUCAUAUUCGAUAAUCUGCUUUUAAAUUCAUUUUAGUUUGCACAGGAAAAUUCUUUGCUUCCGAACAAAUGGAUACCCCAAAAAAACCUUGGAGUUGUUUGAUAUGUUCUGUGACAGCUAACUAUCUUUAUAUCUGCUUCCUUUAGGGGAACAAAAAAGAAGAAAAAGGAAUGAUACCUGUGUAGUAACAGUUGCCCUUACACCUGCUGUGUGCAUCUUGUAGGUAAAUUUGGUGGAUUGGCUCAAGAUGAUGGUUGGAGGCAGGCGUUCAGAAGAGCUGGUAGAUCCGAACAUUGAGACCAAGCCAUCUACGAGUGCCCUUAAACGAGCCCUCUUGACUGCACUGAGGUGUGUAGAUCCAGAUUCUGAUAAAAGGCCUAAGAUGGGUCAAGUGGUUCGCAUGCUUGAAUCGGAGGAGUAUCCCAUACCUCGAGAGGUACGUUUCUGAAAUCAUCUUUGAAAUAACAAUGCUAAACAGACCUUAUAUCCAUUUGACACAAAUAUAGAUUUCAUUCGAAUUUUUGGCUUGCGUGGCUUGUUUUUUCAAUUCAUCUCAUCGUUAUACUCUGAGGAGUUCAUAAGUUGAUCUAUGUAAUGUAACUUGGCUGGAAUUCAGGACCGAAGACGCCGCAGAAGUCAAGCAGGGAACACAGAAGCCGAGUCUCUAAAUUCUGAUACAGAUUGGAGUGAGAAGCCAACUACAAAGACAGAUAGCAGAAGGAACCGUCGAACAUAGGCAAAUGGCGAAUCAAUCAUAGAAAUGCAAGGAAUACAAAUCAAAGGGGACAUGUUACACUCGUUUAAAGCUUUCAUAUUCUUCAGCCUACCAUAGUUGUGAUCAAAGGAAGGAACUGAAACGAGAUAAAGGAAAGGACCAGAACGAAAGGAACUUUUUUUUACUUGUUUUUUUGAAUAUAUAAACCUACUUAUAGGUGUUGAGAGAUGGUUUUUGUGUAUGGAGUGGCACUAGAAGGGGAUGCCUUAGCCAUCGAGUGUGUACAGUUAUCGGUUUUUUCUCUUCCUUUUUUUCUUUAGGUGAUUGUAAUUCAUGAGAUUUUUUCUGAGACAUGCUAAAGUUUACAGGAAGAAACGUUUUUGGCUUGCAUUGUGUGUUUCUACUACCAGCAUUGUGUUAGGUUUACGACCGCGACGGGAGCUUGGUUGAAUGUCAAGCCAUGUUGCCGUGCAUUUGAAGCAAACUGUGAGAUGUGAAACUCAGCACAAGGAAAGGCAGUCAUAUAAUUGCCAAGUUCAAUAUAAGGGUUGCGUGUCAUGUGAUUUUGGAGGCUAAAAUUGCACAUCAUGUGCUUUGAUUUAUUGCUAAGCACGGGAAGGCUAUUUUUCUCCUUUCAUGCUCCCAACUUUUCUUGAGUAAUUGCAGACACACAGUACCAACACAUUUAAUUGUUCGAUUUGAUUUAACGCUCGUUGGUCAUUCAGUUUAAACCGUUGGAUCAAAUCCAAGGCUUUGUAUUUUUACAGAUAGGAUUGAAUAUGGCUAUGCAUUUUUUGUUUUUUUUGUUAUGCUUGGCAAUAUUAACCAGACAACGCUUCAAAUUAAAAUGGUGUUUGAACAUGUUAUCCAACAACCAAAAGGGGUCAUGAGCAUUAUGGGAUGAUUUGUUCCGCCGAAUCCAUGGACUAAACAAAUACGCAUAUGUGAAUUAAGCCAGUUGAAAAAGGCUCCGUGUCUAACCCGUGCAUCCAAGCUCAAAUCACCCUCCUCAUAAAUUAGAAUAAUUUAAAAUAUCAUCUCGCCAAGAAUAAAAACAUAAAUACACUGUUUGGUCCCCUCACAACAAAAAGCUAUAUUCUGCACUAUGUUUGGAAUCUUAUUCUCUGCAAAUUUAUGUGCUGUUCCAGGAGACUAAACAGACACCCAAGAAAAGGUUGUUGAUUUAGAAAAGUCGAAUAAUCCAAGGCUCCAAUAAGGAACUUUUGAACAGGUAACAGAGUCACCGUGAAUUACAUAGGGGAUCAUUAAGAUUUUGAUGAGCAAAAGGAACCGAAGAAUGGUAUGAUCUACAGAAACUGUGUUUACAAAACGAAUCUCAAUAAUGUUGUCUGCACGAACGAUUGACAGGUCGGGAAUCCAGAAGCUUGUUGUUUCAAUGGUGGGGAGCGGACCGAGCAUGCAAAAGAGGCUGUAGAGCCUUGACAACAAUGCUCAUAUUUGGCCGGAAAUCAGCUUCAUAUUGGACGCACAAGGCGGCAACAGCAGCCAACUGUUUCAAGCACACAAAUUGUGAUCAGUGGAUUUGAAGUAAACCAACUGCCUGCCUUUUCAAUUAGUCUAUAACUGGCCAGACCAAAAGUAUGUCGUGUUCUUGUCCAUCCAAUCAACAAUUUAAAGAUAACAUAAUUAUAUAUGUGUGUAACUGUGUAUACAUAUUAAGGAAUCGCAGCAAUGGCAAGUAUUUCUUGGAAUCAAGUAAACUGGUGGUGAAUAAUUACUCAAUGUGUUCCCGAUUACCUUUGCAACUGCCUUGGAAGGGUAUUCUCCAUUGAGUCUAGCAUCAACACACUGCUUCACCUUAUCCUCACUGAGUUUUGGUGUUGCCUAAUAGAAUCAAAAAUUCGAGAAAAAAACUCAGCGAAAUGAAAGAUGAAAACCAGUAACCAAUAAAAUUCUCCGCUUCCACCCGUCCUGAAUGAAUAAAACAAAAGAUGCAAGAACCAAGCAUGAGUUACAAGUAGACAAGAACUAGGAUGAAAUUAGUACCCAUGUCACAAGGCUCUGCUGCCCACGCGGCAAUGUGUGAUCAACAGGUUUACGCCCAGUCAAGAGUUCAAGCAACACUACACCAAAGCUGUAGACAUCACUUUUUGAACUCAGCUGUCCAGUCAUUGCAUAUCUGCCAUUCGGAAUCACAGACAAGAAUUACAAGGGGAUAUAUGCCAAAUCAAAAUUUUGGGCGUACAUCAUAACGUGAUUAUACGGUACAUCAAGGAAGAAAUUACUCUGGAGCAUGAUAACCAAAAGUCCCAAGAACACGAGUAGAAUGAAGACGUGCUGCCAUAUCAGGUGCUUGAUUUGACAGAUCAAAAUCAGCAAUCUUUGCAACAUCAUCAUCAAAAAGCAGUAUAUUGCAGGACUUAAUAUCACGAUGGAUUAUAUGAGGCUGCGCCUUUUCAUGUAGAUAUUCAAGUCCUCUCGCUGCUCCUACAGCAAUUUUAACCCUUUGUACCCAUGACAGAACCGGACCUGGCUGUGCUCCCUUAACACCUUUCCGACCUAUAGCCACAUAAAGAGAAACAAAUUUCUAUUAGCAUAGAGAUGAAGGCGAUCUUACUAAUUAUCAAAGAGAUAAAGCUCAAAAAUUUGCAGCUGAUGAGCAAUUUUCUAUUGUUUGGAGGCCAACCCGCUCGUUUCGCAGAUUACAUGAAACACUAGGCGUCAUUAAACACAAACAACUAUCAUCAACUAAUUGACCUUCAACCUAUAAGUUAUUAAGCCUCAUUCAAAAUUUGUAAACCAAAAAAAAAUUCUGUGUGCAUAAAGCUUCACUAAAAAAAGAUCUAUGUGGUACUUGAUUAAAAAUUUACAACUUUUGGAGGCUGUAAAUAACACCACACGAUAGGAAUGUGGAAAUGUUACUUACCAUGGAGAAUAUCAUGAAGGGACCCCUUAGGAGCAUACUCAUAGGCAAGGAGACGGAGAGGGCCAUCAAUACAAUAACCAACAAGCUCGACAGCAUUCUCAUGUUUUAGUCUUGAAACCAUGGAGACCUGUAAAUUUAUGCUCCAAGCAUUAAAUAAAUUUGAGUAUCAAAUAGCGUACCAUGUCAAGUAUCAAACACAAAACAUUCCGCAGACUUAACCUGCGAUAAGAAUUCUCGCUCCGGUUGUUUACUGGAGUCUAACUUCUUAAUAGCUGCAGCAGGCCCACUUUUCAGAACACCAUGAUAUACUCUUCCAUAUGAACCCUCACCGAUUAAAGAUUUCGUGCCAAAGUUAUCUGUCAAAUCUUUCAAUUCAUCCACUGGAAUGGCAGCGACAGCGAUGGGGAGGAUAUUUACAACCUGAGUAUCCUUGGGUGCAGCUUCUUUCUGAUAGUAACCUCCACUAUUGCCUAAAUUUCAAAUGUCGAGUUUUGCAUCAAUCAAACAAUAAGCCGUAAACAGUGGAUAUCUAAAAUCAAAUGGCAUAGAAGUUGACCUGACUAAUUCCAACUGAAAAAGUAAUGGAAUAUGUCAUUAUUAUCAAUGCACUCAGAAUAAGAACAUCGUAUAUAUACACCCACGCGGUACCUGCUGAGUGAUUUGUCACAUGCGGUCGAGUCUCAGAAGCUUUACGGACAUCAUCUUGUACACAACAACUGAAGCAGCUCAUGAUGUUUUUAUCUGAAGAAACAGUUGAAAACCAUCUUAAGCAAUCUUACGUUGACAGACCGCGGGCGAUAAAAUUUAUCUAACAAAGAUCAAUGGUUUCUGGAUAGUUAUAAAGUCUGGCUUAAUUUCAGACUAGUUCAAUCUGUUAUAAGUUACUAAAACCUCAAUGAAUUAACAUGCUUUAUUCUAAAUCAAUGUUAUUCAAACAAGAGAAACGAUGAAGAAGCACUUGGAUAUCACCCAAAAAAUUAAAAAAACACAACCAAAAAUCUGUAUCAAAAGUUAAAUCCAUCAAUUUAUUCAUUUCACAAAUUAAACCAAAUCAAAGUAAAAAUUCAAAAUUCCCAUUUAAGAUCCAUCAACAAGGAGAGAUUCAUUUUUACAACAGAACAUAAAAUUCAAAGCUUUCUAUUUCUACAUGUUCCUCUUGAGUCCUGUCUCAAAAAAACAAAACAGAUACACAAUAAAUCAAAAGAAAAAGAAGCCACAAUUAGAAAAAAGUGCAUCUAAAACAAAUAAAUUUACAAAAAAUAAAAAAUAAAAAAAAAGUAGCAGAAUUGUGGGGGAAUGAUAUCUCUCACCUUGGUAUGUUUAUAUGGUUCUUCUGGCAAUUGGGUUUUUUGAGUUUUGAGUCAAGUGUUGGGAUUGGAGUGAUGAGAGUGAUCAGGCCGGCUAUGGAGGCCCGCAGGAGAGGGAGAGGGGAAGGAGGCGCACGUCAGCAAUGUACAGAAGGCAUGCAAAUGGGGAGGUUGGGAUGUCUGUCUGUCUCUCUGUCUCUCUGUUCUGGCUUUGACUUACGUUAGAAGAGAGGACACAAAGACAACAACCGAAUUUUGUGUUUCCACUCUUAAACUCCUCGGUCUUCACGAUCUUCUGCGCAUUUCGAAACUGUCAAAAACCAGUUGGGAUGUUAAAUCUUUUUAAUUUUUUUUUUAAUUUGAUAUAAAUAUCUCUUCACUCAAUUGCGUUCUUAGUUUAAGUUCUCUGAUUUAUUUUUAAGUGUGCAUUAACGUAAGAUAUCGCUUCUAAACAGUACAAGUAACAACGCCAUUUACAGUUAUUAAUUAAAAUUUUAAUAAAUAAAAAUAAUAGUGCUGUUUUCUAAAAAAGUAAAACAUCAAAAGUAUUAAUCAUACUAAAAACUAACAUUUGUCUACAUACUUUGUAUGUAUGUACAUAUUUUUUUUUUAGAAAAUAAGAAGGAGAGAGAAAGCGUGUAGGGUGAGAGAUUUUUGUUUUUGAUUUUGAUUUUUUGAUUUUUUGAUUUUUUUUAAAUAUUGAAGGUAUUUUAACAUCACAUGUAGGUGAUGUUUUAAUAAAAAAUAAUAAAAUUUGGACCUAUGAAAUUACAUUAUUGCCUAUCUUUUUUUUUGGUGUCAUAGAAGACUAAUUUAUCUUUUCACUCUCUUUUGAUUGACAAAGAGAGUUUUAUUAAUUAGUAGAAAUAUUAAGGCCAUCUCCAACCGAUGGCUGGCCAGAUGGCUCGUCUCAGCCCUCUGGCCCUCCAAGAUUCUCCAAGAUAUUAAUAAAAGGGGAUGAAUAGUGAGAACAAGUUCAACCCAAAAAAGAAAAGCAAUAGAAAAAAAAGAAAACUAAUGAAAAAUGUUUGAAAACUUUGAGUUUUAACGAUAAGGGUGAAAUAAAGAUUAAAGUGAAUAGUACUAAUAUUGACUUUUUAGUGUAAAAAUAUUAUUUUUUAUUAAAGUAAACAGUACCGGAAACUUUUCGUUAAAGUUCUUAAAAAAAAAAAGAUGAAAACCCAGUUGACGUGUUAUUUUGAUGAAAGUGGCUGGCACAUUGUUUGUAUAUAUUACUCACGUACUUUCUAUACAUAUUAAACUACAUAAAGCAGAGCAAAGCAAUUAUUCCUCUCCAAAAUUCUUCUACCCAAUCUCAGUUUAUAUGUGCAUGUUACGCCUCGUUGCAACGUCAUCUUGAGUCAUGGGUUGUUCAUUUAGAUUAGUAAAUUAUUUCGCUCCUUAGAGGUGUGCGAUGCAAGAAGAUUUGUAACUAACUCGUUUAAUUACGAAUAUUUACAUUUGCAUCGGAUGAUUUACGGUAUUAAGUUCAAACCUCUCCUUGACUCUUGUCCUUUGAUUUUAAUAUAUGUUAAUUCCAGAUUAAAUUAUGUUAAUGUGAUUUGCAUUACAUUUUUAUAUGCACCGCCGUUUUGAAGAUGUGGAUUCUGGAGGGAUUGUUCCUCUGUGUAAGUAUGUCUUAAUGGGCUUUUAAAUUUAGAUGCUUUGUUAGAUAAUUUUUCAUUGUGGCUGAAACGUUAAAGCGUACUCCAUAUAUUAUUAUACAAUUAGAAGGACAUUUAAAAAAAAAAAACUUUCUACUGAUGACAUGUGAUGUAUUGUACUAUGUUCUAAAUAUGCUGAAAAAUUUCUCGCCUCAUUGACCGUUUUCAUUGACUAAACAUCGAUUUCUUUUAAACUUUUGAUUAAAAUGCUUUUUUCUAGUUAAUUAAGCCAUUUUAUGUACAAAAUUACACUUAUGAUAUAUUUUCUUUGUCAAAAGAUAAAGUUUUAUUGAAUUCCAAUAUAAACGUUUUCAUUUUCAGCAAGAAUAUUAAAAAAAAAUCUGGAUCAAGAACAUCCCACCGGAAAUCACCUCCAUGCGAGGUAACAUAUGAGGCUACAGCAUCCAUAACGACAUUUCCUUUUCGCUUUACAUACAAAAACCUCACCUCUCCUUGUUGAGACACCAAACAUAUAAUGUCACGAAUAAAACAUUCCAAACUAGCAUCUAUAGAAUACGCUUCUUGAAGCAUUCGAAUCAACGACUGAGAAUCAGAUUCGAUUUCCACCAACGCAGCACGAAUCGCCGCAGCUUCAGCCAUAGCCGCGUUGUUGAAGAAUAAACCCCCUGCGCCACCCGCCAUUUGCAACAACCCUGCGAAAUCCCUCAUAACCCAUCUGUAUCCUCCCUGUAAAGACUUCCCACACCAGGCACCGUCACAAUUAACCUUUAGUACACCAUAGGUGGGCCUCCUCCACCGUACCUGCUGCUCAGCAAAAAUAGCACCAUUCGUUUCCACAUAGGAGUCAGCAGCCUGCUGAUUGGUAAUAUGGCAUGCUUUAAAUUCUAGGAGUAGAUGCCGCACCAAAUUAACCCCAUCCAUAGGAUUAAUUAAUGUACCUUUGAAAACCAUUGCAUUUCGACUCUUCCAGAUUCUCCACUAGACAAACACGCACUCCUGCAAAAGAAGACAUACCAUUGCUAAAUGAAAACGUACCAAUGCCAAAUUAAAAUAUAUCGACGCUAAAUCAAAAUGUAUUGAUGCGAGGUGAAUAAGUCUCAACACAAAAUGAAAACGGUCAAAUUAAAAUGUAUCGACCAAAUUUAUUUACCGGUAUUAGACAAAGUACGGACCUAAUUUAUUUACCCGUUCUAUACAUGUCACUUCAAGUAAUGCUUAGAAAGUACAUGCCUACUAACACACAAUUAACUUUAUAAAUUAAAUAUGAAAAUAGACGUACAAAUCAACAAUAUUAAUAAAAUCGCUUUGAAAAAUAUGUAUAAAGUUAAAUUGAUUAUAGAAACAAACGUACCAAUCAACAAUAUGAGUAAAAUUGCUUUAAAAAAUAAUAUAUAUAUAUAUAUAUAUAUAAUCAAACGAUUGUGGUGGCACUAGUGGCGGUUGUGACAUUCGCUAAAUUGCUCCGGUCAUUAGUAUGGAUAAGUAUGUAAAUGGAUAGAGAUAGGGAAGCAAACUCAAGAUGUAUGUGGUUCACCCAGAUUGGCUACGUCCACGGAGUAGAGGAGUUCUCAUUAGUUGUGAAGGGUUUACACAAGUACAUAGGUUCAAGCUCUCUUUUAGUGAGUACAAGUGAAUGAUUUAGUACAAAUGACAUUAGGGAAUAUUGUGAGAGAAUGAUCUCUAUUUAUAGAAGAGAGUUUCUAGUUUCAUUCUGACUUUGACACGUGUCGUGUUGUGAUUGGCUUCUGAUGUUGACACGUGUCGCGAUAUGAUUGGCUUCUGAUGUCGACACGUGUCGCGCUGUGAUUAGCCUCCUGGUUGGAGGGAAACUCUUCUAGGUCCUUGAUAGUAUAACGUUGACCCGUGCUCAGUAGUUUCGGGAUUGGUCAAGUAUGGUACAAACAGUGCUCCCCUAAGUUCCUGAGUGAGGGAAGCUCCUCGGUUGGGGACUUGCAAGAUCCAAGCCAUUGAGUAAUCACGAAACUUCUAAGUACCGAAGUGUGGUAUCAUUUUCACUUGUCUUAUCUGUCUCAUACGUAGAUGUGGCAUCUUCUCUGGAAGUACUUUUCCUCCAUCCAGGGGUGAUAUCUUUAACCGAUGAAGAUGCACAAGGUAAUGUAUCAAUUUCACUUGAAGCUUACUUGUAGUUUUGGGCUUGGUCAAAUGCGAUACAAAACCCUAUAGUAGGAGCCCCCCAAGUCGCCGAGCUAGGAGAUUUGCCGAAUGAGGUAACAGACAAGGUAAGCAAUCAGACUUCCAAGCAAGCAACCUGGAUCGGAGGUUCGUCUUCGGAUUCCGGUUGAUUGUUCUUCUUCUCCUUAUGUCGUAAACAACAACAAGGAUAAGGAGAAGCAAAUGGAGAAUAGAUGAUAUGAGAUACUUUUACUUUUGAAGAAGUAUUUUUCCACAUGCGUAUUCUUGAACUGGGCUGGAGGGUUUUCUAGUUUCUUUCAGAGUAUAAGGCUAACUCAAGAAUUUGAGGGUCAAAACAAGUCCAUCAAAUCUAGAGUACGUUUGACCUUGAUGAUAUGUGAUACUUUUGUUGUUGACAAAGUAGUGGAUGUAUCGACACGUGUUCUGUUACGCUUGUCUCCACAUGCUUCCUUGUAUCCUUCUCACUUGCCCUAUCUGUUCCUCAGGCAGAUGUGGUAUCUUCUAUGGAAGCAUAAGAUGUUGAAGAUGAGUACUCGAGAGCAAUGUCAGGUAAGUAAUCAGGCAAGGGGUUCCAGGCAGUCAGUUCCUGACUGGAAGCUUGAUUCCAAGUGCUGACUGAUUGCUCUCUUUCUCCUUGUCUUGCAGGUAAGAACAAUGCCAAAGGAAAAGACAGGGAAAAAGCAUGAUAUGGGAUACUCUUGCUUUUAACCCUGAUGAUAUGAGGUACUCUUGCUCUGGUGUGGCUUGUUUGCAUAGGUAUUAUCGGGAGGAAAAGAAGCUGAGUAUUUCGAGAGACUUUGCUGAGAGUGCCCUCUCGGAUGUGAAGAAAAGUUGAGCAUUUUUUUUAUUUGCAGGUCUGCCUAGCUGUGGAGGAUGGAGGUCGACAUAUAUAGGAGUCUCCUUAACAACAAGUAGUAGUGCUAUUCAUUUACCCUUCUUGGUCAUAGCAAUGUAGUGGGAGCUGCAAGCUUCACGUGUUUUAACUUUGUCAAAGCACUUUGAAAAAGUGGUCUGUGGUAUCUGGAAAGCUGAUGUUGCGUGUGAAGAUUGCAGACAAGCUUUAUCCAAGGAAAUCAGGCUCUCGAAGUUCGGAGAGCGGUGCCUCUUCGGUUUUCGAACAGGCAAUCUUGUCAAGGAUCUGGCUUUCGAGAUUCAGAGAACGGUGCUUCUUCAAUUUUUGAGAACGCAAUCCUGUUUGGGGUCUAACUCUUGAGAUUUGGAGAGCAGUGUCUCUUCGAUUUUUGAGAAAGUAAUCAUGUUGGGAGUCUGGCUCUCGAGAUUCGGAUGGCGGUGCCUCUUCAAUUUUUUAGCACAUAAUCCUGUUGGGAGUCUGGCUCUCGAGAUUUGGAGAGCGGUGCCUCUUCGAUUUUUGAGAAAGCAAUCAUGUUGGGAGUCUAACUCUUGAGAUUCGGAUAGCAGUGUCUCUUCAAUUUUUUGAGAAAGUAAUCCAGUUGGGAGUCUGGCUCUCGAGAUUCGGAGGGCGGUGCCUCUUCGAUUUUUGAGCACGUAAUCCUGUUGGGAGUUUGGCUCUCGAGAUUCGGAAAGCGGUGCCUCUUCGAUUUUUGAGCAAGUAAUCUUAUUAGGAAUGUUUUCUCGAAUGUGAGUAAAGGUUGGGCAUUUUUGCCAGUUUGCCUUGCCACGGAGCACGGAAGUUGACACACAUUGGGACUUUCUACUUAUCAAGGAGUGGAGCUGUUCCUUUACCCUUGUGGGUAAUAGUAGGGUAGCUGGACCUUCAAAAUUUAUGUGUCUAAACUUUGUCAGAGAUUUUUGGCAAAGUUAUAUAUGGUACCCGAGAAACUGAUGUUGCGUGUGGAAAGUGGUGCCACUUCAAUUUUUGAACCAAUUACCCUAUUGCCCUUUCUUUUAUAAGGGCACCAAUUGUGUGCAAGGAGUACAUUCAGAGAGUUAUUGCUUGUAGGAAUUUUCCCCUUACUUCAGAGAUUUCUUUCACCUAAUUUUUCCUUCAUCAUUUCUGAGAAUGUCUGACCCAUAUAACCGUCGUUUUGACUUGAACUUUGGUGAAGAGGUAGCCAUACCUUCUCAAGACAACAUAUAACGGCCAUCUUUCUUAUCCUCUACUGGUCCUCUUACCGUUGGAGACUCUGUGAUGAAGAAUGAUAUGACCGCUGCGGUGGUGGCCAAGAACCUUGUUACUCCCAAAGAUAACAAACUACUUUCCAAACGGUCUGAUGAGUUGGCUGUUAAGAAUUCUCUGGCUCUUAGUGUUCAGUGUGCAGGUUCUGUGUCUAAUAUGGCCCAACGCCUAUUUGCUUGAACCCACCAAGUUGAAUCAUUAGCGACUGAAGUGAUAAGUCUCAAACAGAAGAUCAGAGGGCUCAGGCAUGAGAAUAAACAGUUGCACAGGCUUGCACAUAACUAUGCUACAAACAUGAAGAGGAAGCUCGACCAGCUGCAGGAAUCUGAUGGUCAGAUUUUAGUUGAUCAUUAGAGGUUUGUGAGUUUGUUCCAAAUGCAUUUAUUGCCUUUGUCUUCUGGGGCUGUACCGCGUAAUGAAGCUCCAAAUAAUCAACCUUUGGUGCCUCCUCCUUUUGGGAUUCUGCCUAGUACCGAGGCUCCGAAUAAUCAUCCUAUGGUGCCUCCUCUUUUUAGGGCUAUGUCGAUUGCUAAGACUUCUCCUGAGCAACCUUUGUGAAGGCUCCCUCUUAUUUGUUUAUUUUGAUUCAUGUAUAUGUACAUAUUUGUAAUUUAUCGGAGAUAUCAAUAAACAAGUUUUGCUUCAUUUCAACGUAUUGUGUUAAAUACAUCAAGGCCUUCUUCACUUAGUUCUUUGAAUUUUUCCUUUUGUUGAAACUUGUAUGUUGAAGCUUUGUGAGUGAAGCAUGUAGGUUGAGGUAGUGCUCCCCUAAUUUUCCGAGUGAGGAAAACUUCUCUUUUGGAAACUUGAAAAAUUCAAGUCACUGAGUGGUCGUGAGACUUCCGAGUAUCAAGGUGCAGUAGCAUAUGGUAGGAGUCCCCCAAGUUUCCGGUCGAAGUAGUUGACGAAUGAGGCAUUUCCUUUCUAAGUGGUAGCUCAAAACUCCUUCUUCAUAUAUAUUUGUUAUGAAAGUUGUUAGACUCAUAGAAUAGGAGGCCUAGGCAAUUUUUAUUUUAUUUUUUUGAAUUUUUUUUUUUCGAUUUUUUUUCGAAUUUUUGAAUUUCCAAAAUUUUGAAUUUUUGAAUUUUUGAAUUUCUGAAAAUAUAUAUAUAUAUAUAUAUAUAUAUUUUUUUUUUAAAGCUUUGUAAGUGAAGCUUUGGUGUUGAAGCUUUGAGGUUGAAGCUUUGUUGGGCACCAUGAAUUGAUUUUGCUUCACACUAUCUUGAUCAAGAUAGUGUGAAACUUUUGUAGGUGAAGCUUUUGUAUUGAAGCUUUGUAGGUAAAGCUUUUGUAUUGAAGUUUUGUAAGUGAAGUUUUUGUGGGUGAAGUUUUUGUGGGUCAAGCUUUUGUAGGUGAAGCUUUUGUAUUGAAGCUUUGUAAGUGAAGUUUUUGUGGGUGAAGUUUUUGUGGGUCAAGCUUUUGUAGGUGAAGCUUUUAUGGGUCAAGCUUUUGUAGGUCAAGCUUUUGUAGGUCAAGCUUUUAUGGGUCAAGUUUUUGUGGGUCAAGCUUUUGUGGGUGAAGCUUUUGUAGGUGAAGCUUUUGUGGGUGAAGCUUUUGUGGGUGAAGCUUUUGUGGGUGAAGCUUUUGUGGGUGAAGCUUUUGUAGGUCAAGCUUUUAUGGGUCAAGCUUUUGUGGGUCAAGCUUUUGUAGGUGAAGCUUUUGUGUUGAAGCUUGCUUUUGUGGGUGAAGCUUUUGUAGGUGAAGCUUUGAAGUUGAAGCUUUUGUUGGGUACCAUGAAUUGAUUUUGCUUCACACUAUUUUCAUCAAGAUAGUGUGAAGCUUUUGAGAAUUUGUAGUUGUCCUCCAUUGAUGAAGCUUUGGAGUUGAAGUUUUAUAGGUGAAGCUUUGGAGUUGAAACUUUUGUUGGGUACCAUGAAUUGAUUUUGCUUCACACUAUCUUGAUUAAGAUAGUGUAAAGCUUUUGAGAAUUUGUAGUUGUCCUCCAUUGAUGAAGCUUUGUUGAAUUUCCACACUGUUGAGCAAGAGAUUGUGAUGCAAGCCACACCUUGUAUUAGUCGAAGGUUUGGAUGAACCAUAUAAAUUGAAUUUGCUUCGAAGGUCUAAGAAUUGUAGUUGCCCUCCAUUGAUGAAGCUUUUGUUGGCACCAUAAAUUGGUUUUGCUUCACACUGUCAUGAUCAAGAGUGUGUGAAGCUUUUGAGAAUUGUGGUUGAACUCCUUUGGUGAAGCUUUUUUUGGCACCAUAAAUUAGUUUUGCUUCACACUGUCUUGAUCAAGAGUGUGUGAAGCUUUUGAGAAUUGUGGUUGCCCUUCAUUGAUGGAGCUCUUGUUGGCACCAUAAAUUGGUUUUGUUUCACACUGUCUUGAUCAAGAGUGUGUGAAGCUUUUGAGAAUUGUGGUUGAACUCCUUUGAUGAAGCUCUUGUUGGCACCAUAAAUUGGUUUUGCUUCACACUGUCUUGAUCAAGAGUGUGUGAAGUUUUUGAAAAUUGUGGUUACCCUCCAUUGAUGAAGCUCUUGCUGUUGGCACCAUAAAUUGGUUUUGCUUCACACUGUCUUGAUCAAGAGUGUGUGAAGCUUUUGAGAAUUGUGGUUGCCCUCUAUUGAUGAAGCUUUUGUUGUCACCAUAAAUUGGUUUUGCUUCACACUGUCUUGAUCAAGAGUGUGUGAAGUUUUUAAGACUUGUGGUUGAACUCCUUUGAUGAAGCUCUUGUUGGCACCAUAAAUUAGUUUUGCUUCACACUAUCUUGAUCAAGAGUGUGUGAAGCUUUUGAGAAUUGUGGUUGCCCUCUAUUGAUGAAACUCUUGUUGGCACCACAAAAGCUUGACCCACGAGGCUUAUGUAUUGAUGAAGCUCUUGAUGCAUAAAAUCAGUGAGGACUUUGGUACAACAUAAAGUGUUAAGUUUGUGACAUUCGCUAGAUUGCUCCGGUCACUAGUAUGGAUAAGUAUGUAAAUGGAUAGAGAUAGGGAAGCAAACACAAGAUGUACGUGGUUCACCCAAAUUGGCUACGUCCACGGAGUAGAGGAGUUCUCAUUAAUUGGGAAGGGUUUACACAAGUACAUAGGUUCAAGCUCUCCUUUAAUGAGUACUAGUGAAUGAUUUAGUACAAAUGACAUUAGGGAAUAUUGUGAGAGAAUGAUCUCUAUUUAUAGAAGAUAGUUUCUAAUUUCAUUCUGAUAUUGACACGUGUCGUGUUGUGAUUGGCUUCUGAUGUUGACACAUGUCGCGCUAUGAUUGGCUUCUGAUGUCGACAUGUGUCGCGCUGUGAUUGGCCUCCUGGUUGGAGAGAAACUCUUCUGGGUCCUUGAUGGUAUAACGUUGACCGGUACUCAGUAGUUUCGGGAUUGGUCAAGUAUGGUACAAAUAAAAACAAUACCAAACGAAGCAUAAAACCUAUUAACAAGAAGUUGAGGAAUCUAAUUUCCUCAUGUCUUAAUUAGCAUCUUAACACUAAUUAGCUCGCAAAGAUUUGACUAAUAUACAUAACAAUAAUCAAUCUAACCGAUGAAGAAGCCAUGAAGCCACUCUUCAAUGUUGACCUUCUCCUCCACGUCAAAUUCUCAAUGUUAACAAUAGGUCUUAGUUCAAUUGCGAGAAUAUUCAUGGCUGAAGCGACCGGCAUACUCUCGUAGUGACUCGUCCGGCUUCUGGCAAAUAGUGUACAAGUAAUCUGCAGAAUGCAAGUGAUCGAUCUGGAAGAUGUGUUGAGAGACAAACAGUUUCCUUAAUUCCUCAAAUGAGUCUACUGUCUCAGGUGGAAUACGGCAAUACCAGUUUAGAGCUCCGCCAGAAAUAGUGGAGGGGAAGAGAAGACAUCGCUCUUCGUCGGUGUGCAUUCGAUAUGCCAUGGUGGACUCAAAGAGGUUAAAGUGUUCAAUUAGGUCCUCCCUUCCUGUAUAGAGUUGUAAACCAAGCUUUUGUUUUGUCUUCGCUUGAAGGGGCGUGUCGAUGAUCCUUCUUAUGAGAAGGCCAAGCCUGGGUUGGUUCCAGUCAGGUAUCUCGGCCUAACGUUUGGCAUUCAACUUGUUUACUUCCUCAAGGAGCUGUAGGGCAAUGGGGUCCUGAGUGGAGUCAUGUGUCACUGGAAUUUUCUUUCGUAAGUCUUCAUCGCCUCUUGGAAGUAGGAAAGUUUAAGCAAUGACGUGUGGUUUUUUCAUGGACUCGCUGUACUGACUUUUAGGGCAAGUAUGUCGGAAUACCUCAGAGUCCCCCAUACCUUCAUGUUCCUCUGGGACCAGUCAUUCCUUCCCUAGAUUGGCAGUUGGCCUGGGUCGUGGGAGGGGAUCGAGUCUUUCAGAAACCCUUGGGUCAUUGAUUUUCGAGCAUAUGUGGAGGGGAUUUUUUCGACGUUGCUUUAGGAAGUCUCGGCAGUCACGAUAAAUGGUUUUCGAUCCUUCCAACCUUUCUGCAAGGAGGUGUCUUCCUCCACUUUUUCUACUUCGGGUCGAAGCAUCUGGGUUGAAAGAAGUCUCAUGUUGAUCAAUGUUUUGAUGAUUAGCUCGCUCCUCAUCAGGGAUACCCAUGUCGAAUGGAGGUGACCCUCCGUGUUGGGGGGCACCCAGAUGAUAGUUGAUGUCCAUAGGGGUAACGAGCUUCCGUGUUUGAGUACGCUUAGUUUCGUGGAGUGUCUUAAAGAGCUUCUCAUACUGCUCCUGGAGGACCUCAUUCUUCAUUUCUAUCUUGUUGUUCUAAGCUUUUAGCUCAUCGACUUUAGCUUGAAAAGCAACCAUCUUUCCUUCAUUCUUUCGUUUCUUCGCACUAGGUGCAAGAGGGGUGUCAUUCUAUGUGCUGUGGCUUCCUUCGCUCCCCAUGUUGGAAAGGGAUGCCUGGUCAAAAUAGAGUGUACGAAUGGUGGAAACCAGCUUGGCAAAGCUGAAGAGAGUGGGAAUAAGUGUCGUUCCCACAGACAGCGCCAAAUGUUGAUACACAAAAUCAGCGAGGACUUUGGUACAACAAAAAGUGUUAAGUUUGUGACAUUCGCUAGAUUGCUCCGAUCAUUAGUGUGGAUAAGUAAGUAAAUGGAUAGGGACAGGGAAGCAAACACAAGAUGUACGUGGUUCACCCAGAUUGGCUACGUCCACGGAGUAGAGGAGUUCUCAUUAAUUGUGAAAGGUUUACACAAGUACAUAGGUUCAAGCUCUCCUUUAGUGAGUACUAGUGAAUGAUUUGGUACAAAUGACAUUAGGAAAUAUUGUGAGAGAAUGAUCUCUAUUUAUAGAAGAGAGUUUCUAGUUUCAUUCUGACUUUGACACGUGUCGUGUUGUGAUUGGCUUCUGAUGUUGACACGUAUCGCGCUAUGAUUGGCUUCUGAUGUCGACACGUGUCGCACUGUGAUUGGCCUCCUGGUUGGAGGAAAACUCUUCUGGGUCAUUGACGGUAUAAUGUUGACUGGUGCUCAGUAGUUUCGGGAUUGGUCAAGUAUGGUACAAACACAAAAUGUAUUGAUGCUAGGUGAAUAAGUCGCAACACAAAAUGAAAACGGACCAAUGCCAAAUUAAAAUGUAUCGACCAAAUUUAUUUAUUGGUACUAGAUAAAGUACGGACCCAAUUUAUUUACCCAUUCUAUACAUGCCACUUCAAGUAAUGCUUAGAAAGUACAUGCCUACUAACACACAAUUAACUUUAUAAAUUAAAUAUGAAAAUAAAUGUACCAAUCAACAAUAUUAAUAAAAUCGCUUUGAAAAAAAUGUAUAAAGUUAAAUUGAAUAUAGAAAUAAACGUACCAAUCAACAAUAUGAGUAAAAUUGCUUUAAAAAAAUAAUAUAUAUAUAUAUAUAUAUAAUCAAACGAUUGUGGUGGCACUAGUGGCGGUUGUGGUGGCAGUUGUGACGAUUGUGGUGGCGGUGCAGUGGUGGUGGUGGUGGCAGUGGCGGUGAUGUAAGGUUAGUGUUUAUAGUGGUAAGUGGUGGCAAUCAUUUUAUUCUCCAAGGAUUAAAUGUGUGUAGAAGGAUAAAAUAUGUUAUUUUAAAAAACUAAUGAAGGUAUUACAAGAAUUGAAAAUUUUCAUUAAAUGCUCAAUUCCUUUUAAAAACAACCUAUAUGCUUCUUUUAAAAAUUGUUGUAUGGAGACUAUUGUUUUUAAAAUAAACAGAAUAUUUUAUUUUUACCAAACACUUUUUACUGCUUAACUAUAAAUGAAACAAAUUUCGAUAAAAAAAAAACAACACCAAACGAAGCAUAAAACCUAUUAACAAGAAGUGGAGGAGUCUAAUUUCCUCAUGUCUUAAUUAGCAUCUUAACACUAAUUAGCUCGCAAAUAUUUGACUAAUAUACAUAACAAUAAUCAAUCUAACCGAUAAAGAAGCCAUGAAGCCACUCUUCAAUGUUGACCUUCUCAUCCACGUCAAAUUCUCGAUGUUAACAAUAGGCCUUAGUUCAACAAUGAGCAUAUAUUAUUCCGUUAUACUUUCAAAACCAAUAUGAACUCAAACAUUCGGCUAAAAUACACCUCAUAUUCGAACAAUAUAUUUUGUUAAUUGUGAAAGGUGAUUUGGAAGAUAAUUGUGAUACUUGAUGCCAUGCGCGCUCUCGAUUUCUAACUACUCAUGCCGCCAUUGUCAUUGGGUAUGACCGGUGACAACUUGGUGGAAACGUAGCAAUUCGACACGAUUAUUCUCCAAACAUAUGAUUGUUGAGAGCCUGAAUCCUAUGUAAGGGUGGGCAACGGUUAUGCCAGACGGGUAACCGCGGUUAUUUACUUAUAACUGUUUAUGCUCAUACUCGCAUAACCGUUUACCCAUUUGGUAAUUGCCUAAAUUGUUAUACUCAUACCUAUAACCGUUUAUAAACGGUUAACCAUACCAAUAAUCGCAUACCCAUUUAACCGUAACCGUUUAAUACCCGUUUACUCAUUUUUAACUUGUUUAUCUUUUUCCCAUUUUUAACUUGUUUAUCUUUUUUUUUUACCAUUACCCAUUUUUCACCCAUCUACAUGUUUUUUAACAAAUUGAAAUUUUAAAAAAAAUUUGUCAUAAUUUUUUUUGACAAUUAAACACCGUUAUAGGGGUACAUUCAUUAUACAUUUCCUUAUUUUAAUUUUUUAAGUCCUUAUACCGUUUCAAUAAUUGAAAUAAUAGUUUACAGACGAUAUUUUUAAGGGGUGUGAUAUCCACACACCCCAUUUUACUUCUCACACACCUUUUUAAUUUUCGACCGUCGGAUCAGAUGAAUUGAAGAAGAUCAACGGACAAUAAUUAUUAAAGGUGUGUGAGAAGUAAAAUAUGGUGUGUGGAUAGCACACCCCUAUUUUUAACUGUUACCAAUGAAGGUAAUAUAAUAUUUGCUAAGUAUUCUUGGGUUAUGAAAACUGUUUAGAAGACAGUAUUUUUGAGUUAUUUAACCCAUAGUGCAAAGUAUUAACAUAAUAUAUAUAAUGAGCUACAUUAUUUUAUAAUUAGCUAUAUAAACCAUGCACUAUAGUCAAUAGCAUCAGAGGUGCAAUUUGGGCUGAGCCAACCCGAACCCGCCCAUGUCUAACCUGACUUUAAACUCGAAUAAGCGAAUUUUGUUGUUGUUAUAACCCGCCUGAACCCAACCCGAUUUCAACCCGUUCAUUGAUUGGGUUGGAUUGGGUUGAUCAUUUGUCCAUCCCAACCCAAUCCAAUUAACCAAACCCUAUUAGGUUGAGCUGUGCAACAUACUUCUCAAUAACCUUUGCACCUUUGCACCUUUGCACCUUUGCACCUUUGCACUUUCAUGAGAACCUACUGAUAUGAUAUACAAUUUGACUUGAAAGGAAUCAUAUUAAGUUUAUUUUGCUUUUCACAUCACAUCCUGUAGAACAACUUCCUUUAUUAAAUUAAUAUUGCAACUAUUCGACCUCUCUUUGAGAUCUGCUUCACAGUUUGAGUUGUGAUUGUUUCUUAUGCUGAUUCAGACGAAGUAGGCUAUUGAGCAAGUAAAUUUGAGGGAAAGUGAUUUUAAGGUCAGUUGUUUGCUAAUACAAAUAGGUUGACAUCAUUGUUGAAAAACAUUAAACACUACUUGAAAAAGUUAGGCAACCCAAACUCAACCCAAGUAAAUCCAAACCCGAUUAAACCCGAGCCCGACUAAACCCGAUUAAAACCCAAUCCGAACCCGAACCCGAAUUGUAAAAGUUGGGUUAGGAUUUGGUUGAUUUUCCAACUCGCCCGAGUUGCACCCCUAAAUAGCAUUGAUCUAAGUUUUGUCCUAUAGAGAACAUGGUUUGUGUUAAUUUUACAUAUAUAAAAUAAAUGGGUAAACGGUUACCUGUUUAUAACCGUUAUUUAUACCUAUAACCGUUUAUUUAUCUAAAUAGUUACCUAUAACCAUAACCGUAAAGUUUAAAUAAGUGGGUAACUGCGAUUACAAGGUAUUUUACCCAUAUUCCCAUGUCAGAAAGUAAAGCAUUGCCGUAUAAUUUAAAUUAUCUUAGAUCAGUUGAUUUUAGACCGAAUGUUCACAUUCUAAAAUUUCUAAUAACGUCUGCGUUGGUUGUGAUAUGAGUUCUGCACCUCCGAUAUUGUAAAGCAUUAAAUAAAGGCCCAAUUACAAAUUCAUAAUUUUGGCCCAUGGUUUUUGGGCCCAGAGUAAGGUUGCGUAAUUUCCAGGGUCAAGUUUUAAAUUUGAUGCUUAAAUAGCAAGCCCAACCUUUUGCAAUCUCUUACAUGGGCAUUUUCCAGUCUUUACUUUUCAUUUUCAUUUUUACUUUGGAAUUCUAAUCCUGUAUAACAGUACAUGUGGAAAAUCUAUAUCUUUUUUUCUUUUUCUGCAUAUUCCUGUUUAGUUUUGUUAUUUGAUUUUCUAAUACUUUAUUUCAUUCAAAGGUUAGAAAUGAGCAAGAUUUGUGUGUGGGAGAAAAAAGUGUGUGCGACAAUCAUUUCUCAUUUCAUUUUUUAUCGAGGAGAUAAGAGAUUCAAACUUAAAAUCUCUUCUAACAUUGAGAAGUAUCACUAUUGUACUAACGACUAGUUGGUAAUCUUGCACAUGUGUUCAAAACCAAAAAAUUUCUAUUUUGUAUAAUGAGAUGCAAAAUUUAGAUUGCAACGAAGUUCUUCUUUUUAUGCAUGUGAGAGUGAAAUUGCAAUAAAUCGAACAACUUCAAUUACAUAUAUAAGAGUUUCUUUUCUUGUUUGUUAGAAAAUUUUGUGCAGAACGGUUUCAUAUUACAUAUGUAUCUUUUUACUUUUUAUCACGUAUCUUGUCAGGUGACUUCGCAAUGAGAGAUAGAAACACGUCAAGAUACAACGAUUGUUCCAAGAAAGUUUUCUAGUGGUAUGAGAAAGUUAACGAAAAGGGUUGGGACUUGGGAGGCGUUACGUCGUUAUCUGUAACGGUCUUAACAUGGAGCCAAGAUGGGAUGGUAGGGUUUUCGUGUGCAUGAAGGAUGCAGAUGACCUGAUCUGCCUUUCCCUUUGUGCUUGUGACCUCCUGCAAUUUCCAUAUCGACAAAACUUUUGCCCCUUGAUGGAAAUAUCCAACUUUGUGGGGGCCACCAGUCCAAUCCAUGCAUGGAUCCGGCCCGUUCAAUUUUCAUCGCCAGAAUUCAGUUGAUCACCUUGAUAUCAUGACCUAAUUCAAUCAUCAUUUGGAAGACUUUUUUGUCAAAUAAAACGAAAUAAUUGAUUAAUAUGAUUACAAGAUUAAUUCUUCAUUUUCAACAAUAUUGUAGGAUUUAUUUACUAGAGUGAUAGAAGAUUUGAACUUGAAUCCAGACCGCUUUAAAAACUCGUAAAAAAAUAGUAUCAAUGACCAUUUCCUCCUGUUUUGGAGGCAAAUUUGGUCCACUGUUUUUGUGCAUGAAUAAUGGUUGCCUUUAGUAUUAUUUGCUACUUUUUCUUCAGUAAAACAAUAAUACUGUCACUUUCUAUGAUGCCCAUUUCACACUAGCAUGCCCUGGAAGAACUAAAUAUCUUUUGUCAACAAAAAUCUUCCAUAGGUUGUUCCAAUCCAAGCUAGCCUUGGGUUGUCAUGAUGAUUUUGGUUUUAAUACAAAGUAAAUGGUAUAUAUCAACCGACCAACUGUAUAAGUUACUGUCAGUCGUUAAUAUAUGAACGUUGGUUCAUAUAAAUCUCAUAGGUUCCAUUUGGUGUACGAAAUGAAAGGUUGUGAGUAACAGUUAUAUCCUUAAAGAAAAUAUUGACAAAUUAUGUAAUGUACCCAUCCUGCAGUCCUCAUGUUGGCCAUAACCCUACCCAUGUGCAAAUACAAGUGAACAUAUAUCUCUUUUAAUGUAAUCAAAAUUAAAUUGAAACUUAAAACUUAAAUAAGAUUAGGGUUUUGAAUAUUCUAACGUGCAUGGGUUUGGUGACAUAGCAGGUUUAUUCGGUCCCUCGUACACUAGCAAAAGAGCUUGAAAUUAAUUAAUAUAAUUUUAAUUAAAUUAAAUAAUAAUGAUUAAGCUGAGUAAGAAGGAAGAAAGAUCUCCUAAUUAAUCAUCUCCCAAUUGGAUGCAUGACAGUAGCAUUUGGCCCACGUUCCGGAGUAGGCUCCAUCCUCCAUAACAUGCACAUGAGCUGCCAACCAUUUGGUCUCUCUGGGACCGCAUCAUAUUCAUCUGCAGUUAUUUGGAUUCUCAUACGAUCGACACAGAGAGAGAGAGAGAGAGAGAGAGAGAGAGAGAGAGAGAGAGAGGUUUGCAUUGUGAUGAGUGUGAACCCAUGAGACGUUGCAUAGUAUUAUCUUCUGCUACUAUCCCUCCCCAUUGGUUCUGCAAACCCAACACCAACCAAGAUAAGCGUUAGGCUAGUCGGUCGCCUUACCGCUUCUGGUGACGGUAUACUGUUGAUGUAUGUAUAAAUAAUGAACGACUGAGUUUAGUAUUCAUCUAUCUCUUUUGAAAUACCAAACGUACAAUAUGUGACAUUUGUGUAACAAAAGCCGUCUCCUUAUUCUUAUACUUCCAACACCUAGAGUAGUACGUAGCAGUGGUAGUCUUAUCGCACUUACUGACCUUUUUGUUUCAAUUGAUUCUCUCGAUUGAUAAGUGGCCGGUGUUUGGUCCUAAAUAGAAAUUAGGUUAAAUUAUAAACAUAAUCUUUUUCACAAAUGUAUGUUUUACAAUAAGGUAGAAUAAUUAUGUUGACAAAAUUGAAGGUUUCAAUGUACGAUAGAUUAAUUGGAAUGUAGAUGAUUCUCAGUUGUUGAGGCAUUCACUUUAUUUGGUGCGGAUGUAUAAUUGAUGGACAGUCGUUCAUGCACGUGUGUUUGUAUGAAGAUAUGUAAAGCAACCCUCUAGAUAUGAAUAGACAUAAGGUCUUUGUAAGUUGGGCUACUACUAUAUAGCGAAUUAAUUUUAUGUUGAAACCUCAGCUUUAUUCAUGAUAUCAAAGUAGGGUGUUUCAUGUGUGAAGCCCAACGGCUACACGUGCUUCACAUCACUCAUUUUAUUUUGUCCAUGUGCUAAGCUUAAAAAUUCGUCACGUGAUGAGACGUGUUGGAGUAUUAAUCCUACAUCGAAAAGAAGGAAACUUGCAUUGACAAAUAAGAUACGCUAAUACCCAUAUUAUCAAUUAAUUUUAUAAAUUUUAUAGUAAAACCCAAACAUUUUUCAUAAUUUUCUUUGGAGUUAACUAAAGCCAGAAGUUUGUGGUGUUGUUAACUCACUACCUAGGAGUGGACAUUUUAACCGGUAAAUCGGGUCGAGAAAACCAAAAGAAUCGGGUUUGACAUUGUCACAUUCUUGUUGCAUUUUUUCCCAAAUACCGAAUGUAAUGUGCCAUUCUUGUUACGGACAAGGAUUGUCUGCCCUCCUAGUUGUGGUGCCCUUCUAUGCCCUCCUAUUUUGUGCGGUCACGGUUAAGCCACGUCAACAUUUUAUAUUAAUUUUUUAAUGAGAUAAUAAGACAAAAAACAAUAAAAAUAUAAAAUAUUAACGUGGCUUAACCGUGACCGCACAAAAUAGGAGGGCAUGGAAGGGCACCACAACUAGGAGGGCACCUUGUCCUUCUUGUUACAAAAGCCUCUUUAUUCUUAUCCAAUAGAAGUAGUACGUAGUCUUAUCUCACCUAAUGGUCUUUUCUGUCAAUUGAUUCUCUCAGUUUAUAUAUAAGCUUUGUUUGUUUCAAAAUACAAAUUAGCUAAAUCAUAAACGUAAUGUGUUUCUGUUUGGAUCUUACUGUACACCAUUGAUCUGUUUAAUUGAGGCUGUUGAAUUUUAAUAUUUUUCUUAAAUAUUACUAUUGCUGAUUCGAAUUCAAUAGAGAAAACCAGGCAUUAUCCAUUGCUGGUUGUUUGUUGGAGAUCCAUUUGUUGAUAAAGACUUACUCAAGUGAUGGCAAGGAUUUUCCAACUUGGCUUGAGUAAAGAAAAGAUAAAAGAAGGUACCAUCCAUUUGUGAUAUUAUCCCUUUGGCCAAUUUGAUAAUUUAUUCUUUUUGGCCAAUUUGAUAGUAUUUCCUAAUAGAAUGCUCAGUGUUCAUUAAGAUAAAGAUGGCCAUCAAAAGGCCUUUGGUAGCCACGGUAUGGACUUUACAACACGUUCAAGCGUAUUAGUCCUAUAAAUACAUAAAACCGUGUAAUGAGAAGGCAACCUUCAACUUAACAUACAAAUAUGCCUUGCACAAAUCUCGCUCUAGGCGAACACUUCUCACACUCAGAGAACUAACUAACUCACAUUUUGAGAAAUCACUAACUCUCCACUUUCCUAACUACUUAAAGCUCGAUUGAUUAUCUAUCCAAGUCUCAGCUGACGAGGAGUCCUUGAUUCUUUAAUUGAACGAGGUCACUUUACUAGCUUUCCAACCAAAUUAAGUGUUUUAUGCUUGGUUACUUCUGGUACAUUUUAGAGUUCGGUAUUCUGACGGUUGAACAACAUUUACCAUCAAGACAUUUAUCUCUUUCGAGUACGAGUAUCCUUACAGUUUAACUCCGAACUGAUCAGAGCACUUAUAUUUUCACAAAUAUAGUCGAGGCGGCCGAACCUGGUGCAAAAGAUCAUGAACUUCACAGUGACUAACAACCUUUUUGACAUCACCACCACAUUCAUUCUACUAACCGACCGAGUUCGAUGGCAAGUUAGCACGACCGCAUUCAUCAUAAUGACGUAGUUAGCUUUUUGUUAUUCAGUCUACGUGUAAGUAAACUUGAUAGUUUUUAAGGUCAACAAUUUCACAAAUUGUGCUUUACAUUCUAACAAGUUUUACGAUCUCAACUUAUACUAGACGAAGGCGGACGAUCGAUUGUUAGUUGUUGCUGCGAGUUUCAUUGUGAUUGCGGAUGUAUAAUUGACAUACAAUCGUAACGUGUGUUUGUGGGCAAAGCAACUCUCUAGACAUCAAAAGAUAAGGUCUUUAGUUUUAUUCAGAAUUUGAGGUGUCUAUAUAAGUCACAAAAACCAAGAAACCUCUCGAACUCGUACCUUGGAUGCAGUGGAUGGGUUCCUAUCACAUGGUUGUCGCCAAAGGCAACAGAAGAGUACUCGCUAUAAUACUAAAUUAACAUGGUCCACUAGACGGUGGCUUUCCACCCUUUUUGUCGAUCGUGAGAGUAUGAUUUGGCCAAAUGCACUGUUAUUCUCCCAAAGUCGAGGUCAAUUUAGUAAACUAAUAUAUAGAAGUUUUUAAAAGUCACUAGUCUAGUAGCGGGUAGAGGCCUGUCGCUUAGGGGGGCCUAGGUAAUUUUUUAUUUUUAAUUAAUUUUUUAUAUAAUAUAUAGAUAAAUAUCUACUUAUAUUUUUUUUAAAAUAUAACUGUAUUGAGAUACAUUAAUUAGAAAAUGGAACUAUAUAUAAAUUAUAAAGUAUUAGAAUUGAAAACAUGGGGAAUAAACAUAUAAUGAGUGUUCAUCUCAAUAUUUAACAAGUUUUUUACAAUUUAUUGAAAAAAUAAAAUGUAAAAUGAAAGUUAUCUAUUUUCUAUCUAAAUGAGAGUUACGAUCUAGACGAGCGCCUACGCAGAUCUAGACGCUCUUUCUUAGUUUUCAAACGUCUAGUGAUCAAUCAAAGCGAUGACUACCUGCUUAGCGCCUAGGCAGGCUUAAGCGAAGCUAGGCGGUAAUUUUUAAAAGAAUGUGAUAUAUAGUUAGUAAUGAUAGCUACAAGGAAGAAAGAAACAACCCCACUGUACGAAACCAAAAACACUAAGCUACGAUGUGUUCUUAUCAUCUUAAGUUGUCCUACGAAUAAGUUAUGAAACCUAAUAUUAUGUUGUUGACCUAACCAAGUAGCUAGUAGCUAGUAUCGUUCACAUCAUCACUCCUAAAGUAACUUGAGGUAAAUUAGUUGCAAGAUAGCUAGAAUACAGAUCCGUCAAGGGACAUUUUUGUAAGACACAUUUUUAUUGAAAGCGCUACAAAUUUUUAUCGAAAAUUCAAGUACAUCUUGUUGGAGCAUAACGUGGUAUUGUUUGCAUACAUCAUGUAAAACUUUUACAUGUUAGGAUUUAACAAAGCAAGUAUUUUACGUUUUCAUCUCUCACACUUCAUUGUGAUCGAAACUCAAAAGAAAGAUGAUAAUAAGGUCAACUAGUACCCUAAUGAAUAUGAUUUUUAAUUUUCCGUGUAUUGCAUUACGGUUAAAAUGCAAGAUUUUUCCAAUAUUAAACUAUCAUAAGUAGUGUGUGAUGUCAGAGAUAUUACGAGACGAAGAACUUGCUGGUUCUAGUAUGAAAAUUGUUUUUGAAAUUUUGAUUUAAAAUGAUUCAGUCUUCAUAGGUGUCGGCGGGUUGGAUUGGUUUUUAGCUUAAAAGACCAUUUCUGUCCAUUAAUGUUGGUAGUCAGUUGAAUCAAUUAUUUUUUCUACGUGUUUAAUCUUAAACAAAAUUAAAAAAACGGUUUGUUUGGGGAAGGCUGUUAUUUAUUUUUAUUAAUUUUGAAAAAGUCGCGGUAAAAUCCCGGACAACUGUCAGCAGCUGGAGUCACUGUCAGUCGCGCUUGCACGCCGCCGUAGCUUAUUAAACUCCGGUCACUCACUUCCGCUCGUCUUCCGCCGGAAACGCCCUUUUUUUUUUGCUCGAUCAAUAAAAAUUAAAGUUAAAAAAAAAAGAAAAGAAGAAGAACGUUUCUGAAUUACCAAUCAGCUCUUCAACUUCCAUUGGCCACAGCAGUACAGAGCACUGUGUCUCUCUACUUUCUCUCUCUACACACUCUCUCGUAUACUUUCUCUCUCUAUACAGAGAGAAACACAGCACGAGAGCUCUCUGUUGGUAUUUUUUACGGACGUACACGCGGUUGUGUAGGCGUAGAUUCCUUUGCCCCCACUGCGUCAUAUAAUUUUAUCAAUAAAUAAAUGCCAAAAAGCUCUCUCUCUCCCCGCUGAAACCGCAUUUAUACACAGAGAGAGGGCCUAUUCCUAACGUUUUCCUCAUUUUUAUGUGCUGCUUUGGUUUGCCUAUAUUCACUCCUCCUCCGGGGAUCUCAGCCGUCCUCCGCCGCUCUUGCGAGAAUUCACCGGCUCAGCUGUCACCGGCAAGUUUCUCUCUUUGCUUUGGUAUUUAUUUCUGCUGAAAUUUUAAGCUGUUUUUUGUUUGUAAAGUUGGAAACUUUGCUGUGAUGGAAUUGAUGGGUUUUGAGUAUGUUGAUUUUGUGCGGAUUUUGAGGGCAUAAGUGGGUAAUUUGUGGAUUUUGGGCAGAUGGGCAGAUGGGCAGCUGUUGUUUUAGCCCAGUGCAUACGUGGUCUACAGUGUACUGCUUUUGGAUUUCUGGGGAACCUAUAGAGAAUAAUUGCCAGAAAGAUAUGGUCUUGUAGUGUAAACUUAUUGAUUUCUGGGUGAAAUCGAAGGUUUCAUAUCUGGGUUUGUUUUAAUUCGUUGAAUUGGGGAUUUAUAUCUCGUGGAAUUGGACUAUUGGCGUUAUAAAAUUCUGGAGUUUUUGUGGAAUUUGGAUUUAUGGAGGCUUUUGGAGGCAGAGCUCGGAAUUUCUAUGGUACGAUGGUGCCGGAUUUGAAGGGGGCUGGGAAAAAGAGUUUGGAAUGGGAUUUGAAUGAUUGGAAAUGGGAUGGUGAUCUUUUUACCGCUAGUCCUUUGAAUGCUGUACCAUCUGAUUGUAGGAGCAGGCAGUUGUUUCCGCUUGGGCUGCCGGAAACUCCCUCCACUGCUGGUUUGUCCAACAGUUCUUCUUCUGGUUCGGACGGUAUCUGUCCAGGGAAUGAGAAAGGUAAAAGAGAGCUGGAGAAAAGAAGAAGGGCUAGUUUUGUAGAAAAUGAAGGGCUAACUGAUGAAGUUGGGUCUCUUAAUCUCAAGCUUGGCGGGCAAGCUUACCCAAUCAUGGAAGGAGAGGUACAACAUGGGAAGAAGACGAAGAUAGUUGGGACUACUUUAAACCGAGCAGUUUGUCAGGUGGAGGACUGUAAGGCUGAUCUUAGCAAUGCCAAGGAUUACCACCGACGACAUAAGGUCUGUGAUAUGCAUUCUAAGGCAACUAAAGCGGUGGUGGGAAAUGUUUUGCAGCGGUUCUGUCAGCAGUGUAGCAGGUUAGUUCAAUUCUAUGGUUGUCCUUGUAUGGUGAGAAAUAUUUCAAAUUUUCUUCAGUUAAGUUCUACGUCGUUUAUUCGGUGCUUUCUUAUAGACAUUGUUUCUAGAAGAUGAAAUACAGAGUUUGAUUUGUAAGUUUUAAAAAAAUUAUUUGUUGCUCUCAUGAUUUGGGUCCAUAGUUGUUCAUCACUGUGUUUGGUAUAGUCGAAUUUUGAAGAACUUUUUUGUUGAAUUUGGAAUGUGGUUAUACUUAUGGGCAGGUUUCAUGGCCUUCAAGAGUUUGAUGAAGGAAAGAGAAGUUGUCGUAGACGUUUGGCAGGCCACAAUAGGAGGAGAAGAAAAACACAUCCUGAUACUGUAGUUAAUGGAGGCUCAUUGAAUGAUGAAAGAGGAAGCAGUUAUCUAUUGAUUAGUUUGCUGAGAAUACUCUCCAACAUGCACUGUAAAUCUUUGUGUUAUUGCACAUUCAAUUUUUGGCUGCUUUGCCUGACAUUAAAUUGAUAUGCUAAGUGUAUGUUAAGUGGUUACCGGAUUGUGUGUUGAUUGCCAUAGACUGAUGUCAAAGUUCUUGUGGUCUUUUGCUCUUAGGUUUUGUCAUUAUUUGAUUGAGGCUUGUAGCAAAAUGAUUAUGUCAAUUAACAUUUAAUAACUCCACUCAUAAAUUUUUAUUUGUAAACAUACAACAUAUUACUUGAUGAGUCCUUAACUGCUUAAGGUGCUCUAUUUUUGUGUAUAAAUGACAAAGUGCUAGUUUCUCUGAAUUUAAUUUGAUGAAAAUUUGAAUAUUGAUGCUUACGCAUGAAAAGUUUUCAGUUUUUCAGAGGUUGAUUUGAUAGAAAGUUAGAAUUUUGUGCAGACCUUCAUGUCGAAAAAUAUUUCAAUUUUUAUAAUCCAGAUUACACCUUGUGUGCUUGAAUUUCAUCCCUUGAACCCUUGUUUUUUGCACUUUCUUUCUCUGAUUGUUGGACUGUCCAUAUUUCACAUUCUAGGAUGCAUGAAGGAAGGGCCUAUUAAAGGGAAUUCUAAUUAGGAAUUGUUAUUUAGGAAAUUAUGUCUCAGUGAUCAUGUUAUUAUAAUAUUUAUUUGAUUAUGUUUGUGUUUGUUUUUCUUCUCAUAAGUGUCUUACUCAACUCCACUUUUGAUGCCUAAAAUGCAGCUAAUAGUUCAGAUCAAACAAAGGAUCAGGAUUUGCUAUCUCAUCUUUUGAAGAAUCUAGCCAAUCUUUCUGGUACAGUUGAUGGAAGAAACAUGUCUGCAUUGCUUACGGCAUCUCAAGGUUUAAUAAAUGGCGGGGCAUCAAUUCAGACUGCACAAAAGGUCCCAGAUACAGUUUCCAACGGCUGUGAACCAAGUAAGCCUUCUGUUUCAGCCUCUAAAAUGGAUGAUUAUAUUAAUGGUGAGGACCCUUCAAGACCUAUACGACAGUGUUCUACGGUACCUGCAUCAGAUUUCAGGAGAAUAUCUUCAGUUGAUGCAGAUCAUGGAGGUCUACAAGUUGUUUCAGGUCUAAAUGCCACGAAGCCAUUUCCUUCAAGAGACAGUGUUCCAUCCACAUCAGUUGCACCAGAAGCUACAAUGGGGAGGAUGCAGUUAAAUGGCAUUGAUUUAAAUAAUACAUAUGACGAUUCCCAGGACUAUUUGGACAACCUAGGGAAUUCGCAUGCCCCUGUAAAUUCAGGGACAGUGGCUCAUGGUUUUCCCUUUUGGAUGCGUCAGGAUUCGCAAAAGUCUAGCCCACCUCAGACAAGUGGGACUUCAUGCUCAACUUCAUCAAGUUCUAGUGGAGAUGCUCAGGUAUAUUCUUGUUGUACUUGCAUCUCGUUCCUCGUUAUUGCUUGGUAUAUUAAUGCUUGUAUAUGCCAUAACCUGUCCUUUUCUGUUGGAUAAAAGAAUAGCUUUGUUCUCACUUUAAUUUGGCAUUUAGGUGACAAUGCUUUGCAUUCGACUUGUCCGUUUGUCUAGCCAAUUGAUUGAAAAAACAUGAAGUACUCGGCAUACCUAAUAAAUACUUCUGUUGUGACGUAAGAGUCAAGAUGGAUUCUCUUCUUUUGUAUAGUGCUUUGUAUGUAUAAAUGUGUGCGUAUGCUUCUGCUUGAUAAGGUUUAUAGAGUUGUAGUUAAACUACAGGAGGUUGCAGGCUAUAUCAGUUAGAGUUGAGUAUUUUUUAAAUAUUUUUUAUUAUGAAGGCCAGUGUGUAAAAUGUUACUGCACUGUUACGUCUCUUAACCACUCUUUUUCUGCCGUGUUUCAGAGUCGCACAGACCGUAUUGUUUUUAAACUCUUUGGAAAAGAUCCAAAUGAUCUUCCAUUUGUUCUACGAGCACAGGUAAUAUUUGGUGCCUUGAUUUAAUUCUUCACAAUGUAACUUGUGUUUCCUUGCACAUACAACAAUUUUAUGAAAUAUUUUGAAUAUCCAGAUUCUCAACUGGUUGUCCCACAGUCCUACUGACAUUGAAAGCUACAUAAGGCCGGGAUGUAUCAUUUUGACAGUUUACCUCCGUCUAGAAAAAUCCACGUGGGAGGAGGUAUGUUUCUGUGCUGAUGCCAAAAUGUUGAUUGCUGACCUUGUAUCAGGGAGAUCUCUUUUCUUGUCCUUAAUUGUUAUGUUUGCCUGCAGCUCUGCUGUAAUCUGGGAUCCAUUAUAAAACAACUUUUACAUGCUGCCAAUGAUCCUUUUUGGACAACAGGAUGGGUGUAUACUAGGGUGCAACAUUCUGUAGCAUUUACGUACAAUGGUUUGUUCUCUCUCUCUCUCUCUCUCUCUCUCUCUCUCUCUCUCUCUCUCUCUCUCUCUCUCUCUUAAUUAUUCAUUCAUAUAUUUUCUAGCUCAUUUAGUGAUUUACCAAUAGUUGUGUUAUGAAAGAAAAGACAUUUUAAAUAGUUAUGUCUGUACUGCAGGUCAAGUUGUCUUAGACACACCCUUACCUCUGAAAAGCCAUAAAAAUUGCAAGAUAUCAUGCAUCAAACCAAUUGCAGUUUCUUUAUCCGAAAGAGCUGAAUUUGUAGUAAAGGGGUUUAAUCUUUCUCGUGCCACCACAAGGUAUCCUUAUCUUUCAUUCAAGCUUCAUUAUGUAGACCACUCCAGUGUCAUAUGUUAUUUCUGAAUUAGUAACUAUCAGGAUAACUGGGAAGGAGGAAAGUACUAAGUCCUAGCUUGUGACAGGUUGCUCUGUGCUCUGGAAGGGAAGUAUCUAGUCCAAGAAACUUGUUAUGACUUGAUGGAUGGUGCUGAUACAACCUUUGCGAAUGAUCAGCUACAGUGCCUCAGAUUCUCCUGCUCUAUACCCAAUGUUACUGGCCGAGGACUCAUUGAGGUGCUGUUCCAUUCUUAAUAUAUGUUUUAUAUUUCCUUUGAAGUGUGCUUAUCAUUACUUAUUUAUUUAUUUUUAUUUCAGGUUGAAGACCAUGGUCUCAGCGGCUGCUUCUUUCCAUUUAUAGUUGCCGAGCAGGAAGUAUGUUCAGAGAUUUGUACCCUGGAGGGUGCGAUUGAGGUGGCUGAGACUGCAGAUAACAUCCAGACAGAACCUGAAAAGUUGGAAGCCAAGAACCAAGCGUUGGACUUUGUACAUGAAUUGGGUUGGCUCCUUCACAGAUGUCACACUAAAUUUAGACUUGGUCACGGGGAUCCCAACUUAGAACUAUUUUCUUUUAGACGGUUCAGGUUGCUUAUGGAGUUUUCCAUGGACCGUGAUUGGUGUGCUGUAGUGAAGAAACUCCUGGGCAUUCUGCUUGAGGGUACCGUUGACACUGGAGAACAUCCUUCUAUUGAGCUUGCGUUAUUGGAUAUGAGCCUCCUCCACGGAGCCGUGCAAAGAAAGUGCAGGCCUAUGGUGGAACUCUUGUUAAGAUUUGUCCUAGACAAAGGGUGGCAACAAGUUGACGGGGACGGCAGCAACUUCUUAUUUAAACCCGAUGCAGUUGGGCCCAUGGGAUUGACUCCUCUUCAUGUUGCAGCCAGUACUGAUGGAUGUGAGAAUAUAUUGGAUGCCUUAACUGAUGAUCCUGGAAAGGUAAUUUCUCAUUGUCUUCUUUGACAGUUUUCUUUCUAAUUGGAUGUAAAAAUCAGAACAGGUCUGCAUCAUUAUCCAUUUUUCUCCGUACGUGUUUGACCGUUUGCUCAUACAAAUGACUCAUGUCAGCUCAUUCUGUGUCUCACAUGAAUGUUGAUAUUUCAAAUCGUUGUAUUUUCAAGCAUACAAAUGUUGAUAUCUUUGCUUCUUUAGGUGGGAAUUGAAGCGUGGAAAAAUGCUCGAGACAGUACAGGAUUGACACCAAAUGAUUAUGCAUGCCUGCGAGGCCGCUACACCUAUGUCCAAAUUGUCCAGCGGAAAAUCAACAAGAAACAUGAAAGCGGGCACGUGGUGCUUGAUAUCCCUGGCGUUAUCUUAGACAGCAGCAGCAAGCAGAAACAAUUAGAUGGGCAUAAGUCCUCAAAAGUCUCCAUCUUGGAGACCGAAAGGAUCGAUAUGAAAGCAAUGCAGGCACAUUGCAAGCAAUGUGAAAUGAAACUAGCAUAUGGAAACACAAGGUCGUUUGUGUACAGGCCGGCAAUGCUGUCAAUGGUAGCCAUUGCUGCUGUCUGUGUUUGCGUGGCCUUGCUCUUCAAAAGCUCGCCUGAAGUCCUUUAUGUCUUCCAGCCCUUCAGGUGGGAACUCUUGGAGUAUGGACCGAGCUAAGGCAGUUUACGCGUCUCAAAUUUUAGUUACUCUGGCUUUAGGCCGUUUGUGUUAAUCAUAUGUAUAAACGGAUAACUCAAAUUUUAGUUACUCUGGCUUUAGGCUGUUUCUGUUGAUCAUAUGUAUAAACCGAUAACUCUAUAGGGAACAUAAUGUACCAGUUUUCGUAUCCGUUAAGAUUUCCACGAGAGGUGUUGCACUGUAUGUAUUAAUGAUAGUUCAUAUAAAGCGUGUAUAGGGAAAGAUUGACGUAAAUAGUACUAUUGACCAAUUGUUGAGGCAAUAGAUUGCUGCAUUACUUCCAAAAACACAUACAAACAUUGUAUUCGAUGAGGCGGAAGAUUCGGACUUGAAAAUUCUUUCGCUUUUAAGUCAGCUUUCUUAAACAGAAGACAAUAUUUAGUAGGGCGGCCUGACUAAUAAUUUCUUUCGCUUUUAAGUCAGCUUUCUUAAACAGAAGACAAUAUUUAGUAGGGCAGCCUGACUAAUAAGUAGGUUAGACUACUCUUGCUAAAUUUUAUGCAUUGAGAGUUGUAUUUACGUAAGACUGGAUGGUGACCAAAUACAUAGAAUCACGUUCCUUCAUGAGGGGAUAAGGCUGUCUCACAAAGGUUGGAGCUUUGUGCUUACUUAGAUACAUGAAUCUCGUUCUUUCGUGAGUCAACUUUUCAGGUUAUUCAACUCAAAUGUUAUGAAUAAAAUUGGGCCAAAAUUAGAUCAAACAGUUGUUUUUCUCCAAAUAUUUUUAAUUUGGUCAAAUGCAUGAAUCUCGUUCUUUAGUGAGAUAACUUUUCAUGUUAUUCAACUCAAACGUUAUGAAUAAAAUUGGACCAAAAUUAGAUCAAACAGUUGUUUUUCUCUAAAUAUUUUUAAUUUGGUCAAAUCCAAUCCGAGUCUAAUAUUAACUAGCAAAAAAAAAAGCAGAAAAAUGGAUUUUACAGGCUAAUAAAAUAAUAGGAAAAGGACUCCAGUCACAGAGACACGUUGACUCAUAUUUUGACAUGAAAUUGUUUUCCACUUCAACAAGUCAUAUUCAUGGUCCUUACAUAGUGUACACAAUUAUUACCUUGUUUAAUCUUUUUCAAUUAUUUUGUCGUUUUGAACCUUUUUUCUUUGGUUUAAUUGCCAAUAAUUCAAGCAUUAAAUCUUGAUCUCGAAAUGGAACAAUUUUCCGGUGUACUAAGAUCACGUUCACGUAAAAUUACUGGUUCAUUUAAAUUAUAUUACGUAGAUUUGUUAAUAUUAAGUUUAGGUUAAAUCUCACAAUAAUUAGUAAUAAUAUGACGAGAAUUAAACUUGAAAUAUAUCACUUAUAAUAAAAUAAAAUAUCAUUAGUUUAAAUAUUAAAAUGAUACACCUCGUAACUUGUAACGCUGUUAAUUUCUAAUCGAAAUCAAAAGGAGACGCGUCAUUUGAGGCCACCACCUCUCUCCUCUCACUCUCCCCACUGAAACCGAAUUUACACAGUAAGAGAACCCUUUUCCUAACCUUUUCCUAAUUUUCAUGUGCUGAUUAGCUUUGUCUCGGGGCCUAUAUUCUCUCUGCCUCAACUGCGAUCUCAGCCACUUCUUCGUCAGCUCUCAGUUCUCAGCUCAUCUCCCAACAAUUCACCAACCUGCCGGCAAGUUUCUCUCUCUUUACUCUCUCGCUCUCCUCUUUAUUUCCACAAAAAAAGAUUGGGUCUUUCAGUUCUUUCAGCUCAAGUUUCUUUCCAUGGAGUUGAAAGCAUUGACUAGGAUGUAAUUGUGGGCUUGCAAAUACGGUAUUUUGUACUGACUUGUUGAGAGAAAAACUGGGUAAUUGGUGGAUUUUGGGUUCUGGGCAGCUGUAGCCUGUAGUUUAGCUCCAUUUUUAUGCUGGUGUGCUGUUCUUGGUUUUCUGGGGUUCUUGGAAAGAACAAUUUCCAGAAAUUUCUGGGGCUGUGGUGUUAUUGACUUUUUGUUUUGGGGUGAAAUUUAUAGUUUUAUCUCUGAGCUGUAGUUGUUGUUAUUGUUCAAUUGGGUGUUUGUAUCUGGUGGAGUUUGACUAGGGGGCAUUGUAACAUCUCUGGGUUUUUUGUAUCUUGAUCUAUGGAGUCUGAAUUCGGAGGAAAGGCUUGUAAUUUUCGUGGUGUGAUGGUGCCGAAUUUGAAGGGGGUUGGGAAAAAGAGUUUGGAAUGGGAUUUGAAUGAUUUUAAAUGGGAUGGUGAUCUUUUUACUGCUAGUCCAUUAAAUUCUACACCAUCUGAUGGUAGGAGUAGGCAGUUGUUUCCGGCCAGGCCAGAAACUCCGUCGGAUGCUGGUUUGUCCAACAGUUCUUCUUCUGGUUCGGAUAAUAUCAGUCCGGGGAAUGAGAAAGAUCAAAGAGAAUUGGAGAAACGGAGAAGGGAUUUUUUUGUGGAAAACCGAGAGUUGAAUGAUGAAGCUGCGUCUCUGAAUCUUAAACUUGGCGGGCAAACUUACCCCAUUAUGGAAGAAGAAGUACAAACCGGGAAGAAAACAAAGACAAUUGGGACUACUUCAAACCGUGCAGUUUGUCAGGUGGAGGACUGUAAGGCUGAUCUUAGCAAUGCCAAGGAUUAUCACCGGAGGCAUAAGGUCUGUGCUAUGCAUUCUAAGGCAACUAAAGCGCUGGUUGGAAGUGUUAUGCAGCGGUUCUGUCAACAGUGUAGCAGGUUGGUUCCAUCCUAUUGUUAUUUAUUGUUUGGUUGAAACAUUUCCCCGAUUUUCUUGAAUUAACUUGAAAUACAGAGUUUGGUUGUGUAAAUUUUGUUGUCAUGCGUUUGUUGUGCAUGGCUGUUCAUCAAUCUUCUUACGGUAUGGUUGAGUUCUGCAGAAGGUUUUUUUUGUUGAAUUAAAUGUAACAGGGUUAACACUCGUGGACAGGUUUCAUGCUCUUCAAGAGUUUGAUGAAGGGAAGAGAAGUUGCCGUAGGCGUUUGGCUGGCCAUAAUAGGAGGAGAAGAAAAACACAUCCUGAUACUGCAGUUAAUGGAGGCUCUUUAAACAAUGAAGGCGGAAGCGGUUAUCUAUUGAUUAGCUUGCUGAGAAUACUUUCAAAUAUGCACUGUAAGUACUUGCCUUAUUCAUUGUACACUUCUGUCUUAGUGAAACAUUGUAUCUCAGAUUUAUUUGAAUCCGCAUAUUAUGCCAUUUAUAAAUUGCAGCUAGUAGUUCUGAUCAAACAAAGGAUCAGGAUGUCAUAUCUCAUUUGUUGAGGAGCUUAGCCAAUGUUGCUGGUACGGCUGAUGGAAGAAACAUAUCUACAUUGCUGCAGGGAUCUCAAGGUUUAUUUAACAGUGGGACAUCUGUCCAGACUGCACGAAGGGUUCUAGAUAUGAAUGCUGGUGUUAAUACUGAGGACCCUUUAAGGUCUAAAGGACACUGUUCGAUACUACCUGCAUCAAGAGACAGUUCUGAAUCCAAAUCAGUUACACCGGAAGCUACAAGUAGAAGGUUCCAGUUAAAUGAUUGAUUUAAAUAGUACAUAUGAUGAUUCACAGGACUAUGUAGAGAACCUAGGGAAUUCUCAUGUUCCUGCAAGUCCAGGCACUGCAUCUCUUGGUUUUCCUUCAUGGAUGCAGCGUGAUUCUCAUAAAUCAAGCCCACCUCAGACAAGUGGGAAUUCAGACUUAACUUCUACUCAGUCACCGUCAAGUUCUAGUGGAGAAGCUCAGGUAUAUCCUUGUAAUUGCAUCUAUUCCAUAAUUGCUUGGUAAUAUAAUGCUUAAAAAUGCCUUUGUCGUGGAUGAUGCUCAGCCCACUGUAAUUCGUCUUUUUUUUAAUCUUUUUUUCCAUGAGACCAGGGAUUAAUAUAUCAAUUGUCAUUAAUCAUUAUACGGCGUAUAACUUGUCUUUUGUUUGGAUAGUAGAAUACCUUUGUUCUAUCCUUGAGAGUAGUUAGGCAGUCAUGUAUUGUGUUCUGAACGUGUCUGUGUAUCUUUCCAUGGAUUGUCAAAAUAAUGGCGAGGUUAAGUGCGCUCGCUGCUUGGUUAUGGGAUAUAUGUAAGAAAUGCUUCAAUUGUGACUUAAAGUUGAGAUCAGUUAUCUCUUCCUUCAAACCAAUAUGGCAGUUUACAAGCGCAACCACACACACAAACAUACUUGUUGUGUAUACGUCUUCUUGAUGCUGUUAAUAGAAUUGAGGUUAAAGUUACCUGGUGGUUUCUGCAGUCCUAAUGGAACAUGCAUUAUUUAUGUAAAAGGCCAGUAUGUAGAAUGUAUCUGCAAUUUUACGUUUCUUGACUGCUCUUUUUCUGCCACAUAUCAGAGUCACACAGACCGAAUUAUUUUUAAACUAUUUGGAAAAGACCCUAAUGAACUUCCACUUGCUCUGCGAUCACAGGUACUAUAUUUCCUUUGAUUUUUCUAGUUUUCAAAGUACUUUUCAAAGUAUUUUGGUGUUUCAUUCCACGGACUCCAUGAUUUUUAUAAAUUAUUUGAAUAUCCAGAUCCUCGACUGGUUAUCUCACAGCCCUACCAACAUUGAAAGCUACAUAAGGCCGGGCUGUAUCAUUUUGACAAUUUACCUUCGUCUAGAAAAAUCCACGUGGGAGGAGGUAUUCUCGACUGUGGAUGGCAGAUCCUUGUAUGAGGAAGACUUUUUCUUCAAGUCCUUAAUUUUGACAAUUCACCUCUCCCAGACCCUGAUUAAAGCGGGAGCCUUGUGCACUGGGUACGACCUUUUUUUUUAUAAUUAUUUUUGCUUACAGUUCUGUUGUCAUCUGGGAUCCAGUUUGAAAACACUUCUUGAUGCUGCGGAUGAUCCUUUUUGGAGAACAGGAUGGGUGUAUACAAGGGUGCAAGAUUAUGUAGCAUUUACAUACAAUGGUUUGCCUCUCUCUCUCUCUCUCUCUCUCUCUCUCUCUCUCUCCCCCUCUCAUUUCGUGUGUGCGUACACAUUUGUGUAUUUAGGGUCUAUAGAAGAAUCUUGCUGUUUUAGUUUUCCAUUAUGCUUUAUUGAUUUUGGUCAUGCUUUGUUUUGUUAUUUCUAGUACAUAAUGAGGAUUGACCAAAAACAUUAACCUUAUAUGAGAGAAGCAUUUUGAUUAGUUAUGUCCAUCCUGCAGGUGAAGUUGUGUUAGACACACCCUUGCCUCUUAAAAGCAAUAAAAGUUGCAGGAUAUCAUGCAUCAAACCAAUUGCGAUCUCCUUAUCUGAGAGAGCUGAAUUUAUAGUAAAAGGCUUUAACCUUUCUAGUUCCACCACAAGGUUCUUUCAUCUUUCAUUCAUGCGUCAUUACUUUGUUUUCAAUAUUCCUCUCUAGUUUUAUAGGAUAACAGAAGAAAUACUAAAUUCUAGAUCUUGAGUCUUGACAGGUUACUCUGUGCUCUAGAAGGGAAGUAUCUGGCUCAAGAAACUUGUUAUGACUUGUUGGAUGAUGCGGAUAGCACUGUUGAGGAUGACGAACAACAAUGCCUUAAAUUCUCCUGCUCUAUACCAAAUGUUACUGGGCGAGGAUUCAUUGAGGUGCUGUCAUAUUCCUAAUUGUCCCUUUCCCCCUUCCUCCUCUUGUAAUGUGCAUUUUGAACGAGCCGUAUUUUAUAAGUCCGGAAUUUGUUUAUAAAUCUUCUUAUGAAUACUGAGUAUAGAUUUGUUUCUAGACAGCGCCUUAACUGAAAUCCACGGUUCUCAUUUUAUUGGUCAAAUUUAUGUCAGGUUGAAGAUCAUGGUCUCAGCAGUAGCUUCUUUCCAUUUAUAGUUGCAGAGCAGGAAGUAUGCUCUGAGAUUUGUAUGCUGGAAGAUGUGAUUGAGGUGUCCGAGACUGAUGAUGAUAUCCAAUCUGGACCUGAAAAAGUGGAAGCUAAGAACCAAGCCUUGGACUUUAUACAUGAAUUGGGUUGGCUCCUACAUAGAAGUCGCGUUAAGUUUAGACUGGGUCAAUUGGAUCCCAAUCUAGAUACAUUUCCCUUUAGACGGUUCAGAUUGCUCAUGGAGUUCUCCAUUGACCAUGAUUGGUGUGCUGUGGUGAAGAAACUCUUGGGCAUUCUGUUUGAUGGUACUGUCGACGCUGCAGAGCAUCCUUCCCUUGAGUCUGCACUACUGGAUAUGGGCCUCCUCCACAGAGCUGUGCGAAUCAAUAGCAGACGUAUGGUGGAAUUCUUGUUAAGAUUUGUCCCAGGUUUAACAGGAUCUGAGCAGAAGGAACAAGUUGACAGGGACGGCAACAGUUUCUUGUUUAAACCUGAUGUUGUUGGGCCCAUGGGGUUGACUCCUCUUCAUAUUGCCGCCAGUACUGAUGGCUGUGAGCAAGUAUUGGAUGCCUUAACUGAUGAUCCUGGAAAGGUAAUAUCUCCGUUUUUUGAAUUGCAACAUAAUAUUUUUCUUCUAAUUCUAUGUAGAAAUCACUUUGCGCUGGCUACAACCUCCAUCCCAUCUCCAUACCCAUUUGAACUCUUGCGCCUACAGUUGACCUGUGUCUGUUCUCAUACUGUUUCACACACGUGUUUUGAUGAUUUUAACUCAUUCUAAUUUCCAGCAUGUCAGGUUGCUCACGGAUUUUAGAUCUGUAAUCAUGUCUUCUUUGACUUUGAGCUCUCUCUUUAGCUUUUCCACUGUCUUCUGCCUAAACAAAAUACACUGAUUCCAGUUAUUGAGUUGUAUUUCAAAUUCUCAAUUAACCAAUCCUAGACAAAUUAUGCAGUCUUGUAUUUUCUUUGGCUUGCGAAACAUAUGAAACAUAAAUCACCGUAGAAAAGUUAAAUGCGCCAUUCAAAUUGGUAAAGAAAGCAGCACCCCACAUCUAAAUGCAUGCUAACUCUUUCACAGCUGAAAGCGGCACCCAAAUUCUACAUUCAACUUGAAAUCAAAUAGGACUGCUGUUAAAAUUUUUGACGAUAAAUGAAUUAUGAUUCUUUUCAUCGUUCUAGUUUCAACUUUCAAGCAUGUGUUUAGGACUGCUGUCAUGAAAUUUCUUUAGUGUCAGAUAAUCCAUUCAUCAAGUUGAUAUGGGCGUUUUUUUCUUUAGGUGGGAAUUAAAGCAUGGAAAAACACUCGAGACAGCACAGGAUUGACACCAUAUGAUUAUGCAUGCCUUCGAAGCCGCUACUCCUAUGUCCAUAUAGUCCAGCGGAAAAUCAGCAAUACACUGGAAAGCGGGCAUGUGGUGCUUGACAUCCCUGGCCUCACGUUAGACAGAAAUGGAAAGCAGAAGCAAUCGGAUGCGCAUAAAUCAUCAAGAGUAGCCAGCUUGGAAACUGAAAGGAAUGAUAUAAAAGCAAUCUUACGACACUGCAGGUUAUGUGAACAGAAACCAGCUUAUAGCACCACACGGUCACUUGUAUACAGGCCGGCAAUGCUGUCAUUGGUGGCUGUCGCUGCUGUCUGCGUUUGCGUGGCCUUGCUCUUUAAAAGCAAUCCGGAAGUUGUUUUCGUGUUGGAGCCAUUCCGGUGGGAACACUUGAAGUUUGGUUCAAGCUAAGGUUAUAGUUUACGUGUAUUAAUUUAUAGUGACUCUGGUUAUACAUAGACCAUUUCUUUUCACGUGGAUAGGAGUAUAUUUUCUAUCUGAUUUUUAUAUGUAUAUCUAGGGCCACUCAAGCCAACAAGACUCUUCGCAUUGCAAUGGUCGGAACGUCUAUCGUAUCUGUAUUUGUAUACCUAAGCUUCCAAAAUAAACAUGGGCUGUCAUGGAUUUUGGUCCACCAGGUUUGAUUGUAUUUGUAUUUGUAUAACAGUGUUACAAACUGGAUGACACAUAAUUUCUCUGUUUGAUAUUUCUUUUUUUUUUUUCAAAAUAAACAUUUGGCACGAGGUGAUUCGGUGUUCGAUUAUUAGUGCAUUUACUGUAUAAAUUAAAUUUUAAUUUUAGAAAAUUCAGCAUUUUUGUUGGUUAUAUUGGAGGAAAUCGAACUUUGGUCUACUCUAAUUCUAACUUAUUACCAUACCCUCCUCCAUUAUUUGAGCUCAUAUAAGCAUAAGCACACUAAACAAGGUUAAGUAUAGAAGAAUUUGGGAAUUGAGAAUUAUUGUUUGAGCAUUAUUUCAUGUUUAGUGCAAAUUGAGGUUGAAUUAUUUUCUAAUUUUAUUAGUUUAAUCAUUUGGAUGAAUUUGUUCAUGCUUCCAUAUGAAAUCAUUAUUUUAUUAAAAUAAUUUAUUAAUAGUUCGAGAAAAACUUAAAUGGAGGUGCUCACGUCAUUCAUCACGCAUUCACAUUCACAUUCGUUACACGUUUCUCAUAAAAACAUAAAACUCUUUCAAAUGAAUAGGUUUCACUGAAUUUGGAUAAUAUCCGACUUUACAUAAGUACAAGUAUCAAUGCACAUGAUUCCAACCAGUAAUUAUUAUCUUAUUUGAAUUACUUACCCCGAAUCAGACCUGAAAAAGUGUAAUUUAUUCAAAUUUUAUUUUCUGAAAUUCAAAAAAAUAAAAUAAAAUUUGAGGAUAAGAAAAUAAAGGGUAAAGAGGUCAUUUGCAUGCCCUGCCUCCUAAAAUCCACCUCACUACUCACUACCCCGUCACUGCUCUAACAAUUUUGCAGGCCAAAGCCAUCCAUGGCUUCUUCAAUCUCUCUCUCCUUCUCUUCCUCUCUCCUCCCUCAUCCUCUUCCUUUCAACAAAUACUCCACCGCCACCGCCGCCGCCUCCCAGAAAUCCCAAUACCCCAACUUUAAGCUGCUCCUCCGCGCAUUCGCCAACCCAGCUGUAAGCCGUCGCUCCACUCCAUCUCCGUCUUCCGACACCAGAAAGAGGCACUGGAAGAAAGGUGAAUACCCAGGCGUCUCGGAGACGUCGGCUCCGGCGAAUUACAGAAAAACCCCUGGUCGUUCCACUUCAUCUGAGUCUUCCGACACCAGAAAGAAGCACUGGAAGCGAGGUGAGUUCCCGGGCGUCUCGGAGACGUCGACUCCGGCGAAUCACAGAAAAACCCCUGGUCGUUCCACUUCAUCUGAGUCUUCCGACACCAGAAAGAAGCACUGGAAGCGAGGUGAGUUCCCGGGCGUCUCGGAGACGUCGACUCCGGCGACUUACAGAAAAACCUCCGCUCGUUCCGCUUCAUAUCCGUCUUCCGACAACAGAAAGAAGCACUGGAAGCAAGGGGAGUUCCCGGGGGUCUCGGAGACGUCGAUUCCGGCUAUUUAUAGAAAACCCCCUUUGAAAAAUGUGAAGAAGAAGCUGGACCGGAAGAACAAUGCCAAGGCCUGGGUCAACACCGUCACGGAGGCCCUGUCAGACGCCAUUGACAAGAAGCAGUGGCUCCAAGCUCUUGAGGUUUUUGUCUUAAUCUAAACAAAAAUUAACAAAUUUUUCAUCUUUUUUCUUAUGUGUUUUUAGUUUGGUGAAUGUAAAUUGAUGCAAAAUUUAAAAAAAUGGUAUUUUUAUGCUUACCAAUUUAGUUUCUUGAACCAUGUUCUUGAAAAAUGUGAUCUUUUUAGCUGAAUGAUUUUAGUGGAAUUAUAAUUAAUUGGGUGUUUUUGUUUGGAAAAUGUAUGAUGAAAUUGGGUACUAUUACGUUCAGGUGUUUGACAUGCUUAGGGAACAACCAUUUUAUCAACCGAAAGAAGGGACUUACAUGAAACUCAUUGGUAUGCUUGGAAGGUGCGGCCAACCCAAUCGUGCCCGCCAGCUUUUCGAUACAAUGGUUGAAGAGGGCUGUGAACCAACUCUUGACCUUUACACAGCCUUGCUCGCGGCUUAUUGCCGGAACAAUCUGAUUGACGAGGCAUUUUCUGUUCUUAACCUGAUGAAGACUCUCCCGCAAUGCCAGCCUGACGUUUUUACUUACAGUACCUUGAUAAAGGUUUGCAUUGAUCAUUUGAAGUUUGAUUUAGUUGAGUCCUUGUAUGAGGAAAUGGCUGAGCGGUUGAUAGCUCCGAAUACAGUCACCCAAAACAUAGUGUUGAGUGGAUAUGGUAAGGCCGGGAAGUAUGACCAGAUGGAAAAAGUGUUGUCCGGGAUGCUGGAGGGUACAAGUUGCAAGCCUGAUGUCUGGACAAUGAAUGUUGUCCUUAGUGUGUUUGGAAACAAGGGUCAGAUAGAUAUGAUGGAGAGAUGGUAUGAGAAAUUCCGUGAUUUUGGGAUUGAGCCGGAAACUCGCACUUUGAACAUUCUGAUUGGUGCUUACGGGAAGAAAAGGCUGUAUGAUAAGAUGUCAACUGUGAUGGAGUACAUGCGCAAGCUUCAAUUCCCAUGGACAACCGCAACUUACAACAAUGUGAUAGAGGCUUUCGCGGACGUAGGAGAUGCAAAAAACAUGGAAUACACGUUUGAACAGAUGCGUGCUGAGGGCAUGAAAGCAGACACCAAAACAUUCUGCUGCCUUAUUAAUGGGUAUGCCAAUGCAGGCCUCUUCCAUAAGGUGGUUAGCUGCGUUCAGUUGGCUGGAAAGUUUGAGAUACCUGAGAAUACCACAUUUUACAAUGCGGUGAUAGCUGCAUGUGCAAAGGCAGAGGAUUUAAUGGAGAUGGAAAGAGUUUUCAACCGGAUGAAAGAGAAGCAAUGUCAACCGGAUUCCACAACAUACUCUGUCAUGGUUGAGGCAUAUAGUAAGGAAGGUAUGAACGACAAGAUCUACUACUUGAAGCAGGAGAUUGGUACUGAUGGUAAUCAAAGUGAUCAGAUUAGUGUUGAAGAAAAUCAAAGUGAUCAGAUUAGUGCCGAAGAGAAUCAGAGUGAUCAGAUUAGUGUGGAAGACAAUCAGAGUGAUCAGAUUAGUGAUGAAGGCAAUCAAAGUGAUCAGAGUAGUUUUGAAGAUAAUCAAAGUGAUCAGGCUUUUGGAGCUGAGUCUGGCGGUGUUGUCUAGUUGAGAUCUUUGGAGGCAACAGUAUGCUCCAAAAAUCCCUAAUCUCACAGGGCAAUUCCAUUCCCCGCAGUUCUUCUAAGGCAGCAGCAAACUCUUAUUGUGAAAUUGCCGAUCGAUCAGGUAAUCAAACAUUUCCAUUCUCGGAUGGGUGUUAGCAAUGCUGCUUCCUCCAAUUUUAUGUUUCUGGUGAAGGACUGUAUGGAUUGAUCUGAUAGACUGAUAACCCGGGUGAAACUUUAUGGAAAAUGAUUGUACAUACAGAGUUGAUAAGUGUCUCUCUCCAAACUUGAUGCGAUCUCUAAACUAGCAUGCAAAAUUGUACGACGAUUUGUAAGAGUGUUUAACUGUGUUCAACAGAGGAAUUGCUUUUUGUUAUUGCCUGAAAUGUUUUGAAUGUAACUUCACGUAUAUAUUGUCUGCAGCAGCUGCUGGACAAUCAUAGAAGGUGGUCUGUAAACACGUUGUUUUUGAAAAUUAAUCGCUCUUUUCGGUACAUUUUGUGCUGCUGUUGUUCGAAUGUUUUGGCACUUGAGGCAGACAAUUGAUCUGCAAUUAUCCCAAAAUGUAAGGGUCCAGCUCAACAAAACGCAGGGGUAAUUUGAUCAAAGAUGUAAGUUUUGUUAUAUUGACUUUUGAGUAGCAUUGGUAGUGUAAUAAACAAUAUCAGUAACGUUGAAUAAUAAUAAAUUUUACUUGGAUGCCGGCGUGUGUAGUAAGAAUAUGUCCAAAGUGGUUUGGACAACGACAUGAUGGUGCGUUAACUAAUAUGAUCUUAUCACGUGAUGAGAGAUAAAGGAGAGAUGAAUGUAUUCGUGACCUGGAGGUUAUUCUACACGUAAACUUGUAAAGAUAGGCAAACAGGGUGCUUUUUGGUUGAAACGAAAUGCUGAAUUGUUUACUCUUUCUUGUGUAAGAAGAGAAGACUUGUAUCGUAAUCAGGUACUAAUUGUUGUCUUUUGGUCCCACCUUACCUCACACUAUAAAUAAUGGCAUCUAAACCCGAUUAUUCACAGAGAAGCUUUCACAAAAGCAUAAAACUCUUAUAUUUUGGUUUCACUCGCCUCAAACUAGUCUCCCUCGUUGAAAUAGCUAACCUAGUUAGGAACUGUACACAAGUUUCUCUCGUAUCGAAGAAAGUCAAAGAAGUUUUUAGCUCACAAAAGCACAUAACCCCCUAUAUAUUCCAUUUGAAUCACCAUUUACAAAAUUUGUACUAACUUUCCAGUCGAAGAUAGGAUAGUUUCGACAAGUAUUGAACGGCUAAGAUAACUUUAUUUAUUACAUGAAUGGCUAAGAUUAAAAACAAGGGCACGUAGACGAAUACAAACAUCUUCAAUGAGAGGAUCCACCAUUUCUACCAUUGGAAAUUUAAUUUCCUUACAGAAUAGGCGAAAAGUGAAGCGAAAACAAUCGGGAAAGCAAUGAGAACAAUCGCCACGAGGAAUAAACGAUCGUGAUGGAAGCCAUAGUAGUCUUGAAGGAAGGAAGCAACUGUUUUCUGCUCCCCAAAAAUCAAAAUCUCUUUGUUCAUGUCUCCAUAUUGUGAACUGAGGAGGGCAUUUAGGGACCAUGAUGUAGGACAAAUCCAAUAGAACCAAAUCCACCACUUGGGAAUUUUCUGCAUAAAAUAUAUAGAACAUGGUCCGCUAGGCUCACAGUAAACCGUCAUAUUAAGGGUUUAUUUGGCACUGCUUCUUUAGAAAGAACUUUUGCUUAUAAAUUAUAAGCGCUUUUUCUGUAAGUUGUUUAAUAGAGUUAUGUUGCAAAAAAAGCAGUUGGGAGGGCUUCGCAUACUAAAAGCUCUUAAAGUUUUACUACAUAGUCUUUUGGCUUUUCUAGAAGCAGUCUCAAACAGGGCUAAAGACUAAAGAGAGAGUUAGAUUUAGUUACCGGCCCGAGCACAAGGAAGCCGGAAAAAAGAUUCAAUAUGGUGUAGAUUGCCGUUGCGAAAAUGGAAGCUACUUGCAGGCUUGUGCUAAAAGAAGCUAUCAGCAUCCCAAGGUAUACAAAUUAGAGAAAUGUAGAGAAUGUUGCAUGGAAGUACCAGAAAACCUUAGUAGCUGACCAAUAGUACCCUAUUGUAGGGUAUGUAAUAAUGACAUACAGAAUUGCUUGAACCACUUUGUAAGUUAUUUCAAUGGCCACCUACAACAACAUUCAAAAUUUCGACAUGUUAAAAACCUUUCCACUACAAGCUACGUUAUAGUACCAGUUAAAAUGUACGAACCUGUGCAAACGAAUGAGCGUUUGAUGAGUACAUCCCAGCAAAUCUUUCCCGGUACAGAACUGCGCGCUCAGUAGCCACGUAAGGCAGAACCGUCGAGCAAUUGGUUGUGCCCAAAAAUAUUACAGCAAUGUACAGUAACCCAAGCACGUUGAACAAAUCAUGCUCAUUGUUUCUUGAGGAACAAGAAAAACACAGGAUUUAGCGUUGUUGAGCAAAAAUUGUACAUAAUAUGUAAACAAAUAAUUCUCUCGACAUAAUUUCACCCUCGUUCAUUUUUCGAAGAGGGUUUUAUUAGUUUGAGUUUGAUUCAUUCUAGGUUACGCGCCUAUUAAUUACAACCUUUCUUUUGGGAAAGGAAUACCCUUUGAUUCUAAUAUGAAUAAAUCGUAAUUUGAGGAUUUGGGUGUUUAUUUGAUUUUGUGACUGUAUCUAGGUAGAGCCCUAGAUUGCCUACGUACCCUCGUUGAGGGAUCAAAUCACUCGUAGUUCCUUAUGUGUUUUGUUGGGGUUUGACGCCUUGUGCAGUUUCAGCUCAUGCAGAUGAGGAUUUUAAGCCGUUGGAGCUUUAAUAAAUUUGAUAUGGUUUUAUGCCAUUCUGAAAUUUGAUACGGCUUCGUGCCAGUUAACAUAGCUUCGUGCCACUUGAGAUUUUGUUGCGGCUUCAUGCCAUUUGAUAUUUGACUUUUUCUUCGGCUUUACGGCUUCGUGCCAUUGAAUUGGCUUUGAGCCAUUUGAGGCAGCUUUGUCCCAUUUAAAGUGGUUUUAUGCCGCUUAAACGUUGAGUAAAAUUAACAGGUUUAUUUCUGAUAAACCCACUAAUAUUUUGGCAUUUGACUCUGGCUUGGUACCAUUUCUUACUCCAUGUUUAAUUUUACUUUUCCUUUUUCGUUUGCCCUUUCUUCUGACAAAUUUGUAGAGAAUCAUGCUUGGAAUAAAAAAAAAAUUUCCUCUGUUCCUUCAUGGGAUUUACUCCACAAGGGUUUUGUUCAAAGCAGCAGAAGUGAAUUUAGUUUAUACAAACCAGGGAUUCAUCUUGAUUUCUUGGUUGCGUCUAAAAUUUGAUAUCAGACUGCCUACGUAUCCUUAACGGAAUCAAACCGGCGUAGUUCGUAACUUUUGAGACUCAUCGCGGCUUUGUGCCAUUUGAUACUUGAUAUGGAUUCGUGCCAUUUGAAGUUUGACGGAGCCUUGUGGCAUUUGUGUCUUGUAAAUAUUUGUGAUGAACCCACUUUUACAUUGGUAUUUGACUUUGUCUUCCUUUUCAUUUAUUUUGUCUUGGAACCCAUUUUAUUUUGCCUACAAGCCCGUCACUCUAUUGUUGCCCUUUAUUUUUUUGCAUGGUAGCACAAAAAAAAUCCUUGCUUUCAUAUGGAAAAUAUAAAAGCAAGAGUCAAAGCUCCUUUAUUUUUACCAAUGCCUUUUUCAAGCUUUUAAGUCCCUUGCUUUUCUUCUUUCUUUAUUUUUCUUUUGUCAUUGCCGUAUGUCUCCCUAAGAACAACUCCACUUUUGGAGCCCUUUCUCCAUGCAAUCCACUAUUCAAUCCACCAUGUAAACAGUAAUUACCCUUAAUAAACAGUAACUACUUUUGUAUCUCAACCCUUGCACUUGAAUACCCUUGGCAAUAGGCAAUAAAAUAUUAAUUUUUAUAAUUAAUAUUAUAUUAUUUAAUUUGUACAAAUUAAUAUUAUAUUAUUAAUUUAUCUUUUCCAAUCUCUUCCCGAAACUUCUACCAUUUUUGUUUUCUUCUUCCUUCCCACUCUCUCACUCCCCUCUCCCUCAUUGUCUUCUUUUUUUUCUCCGGCCGACAGUCUACCUCCCCUCUCUCUUUUUCUCCCCCAUUUCUCCCUGUUUUCUUCCUCAAACGAGGAAGCUGCGAAUUUUGAGAGAGAGCAGCACCGAACCCACCCGCCUCCCGCCAUGUCUAAAUCCACUGAUGUGUCUUUCUUCCUCCUCAUGGUCCUCUGCGGCCAGGCCCAAAGAGGCCGCCUGCUUCUUUCCGACUUCAACCAAUCAACGUCAUCCGAUCUGAUCUCCGAUAGAGUCCACCACCACCACCGGUCCCACACCCUGGCUCCCUACCUCACUCUCGAGAACGCCCUUUCGGCGGAAGACUCCACCUGCAAGCAGACCUACGUUUUCCUGCCUUGCACCACCACUGUGAUCGACAACCUUUCCUAAUUCCUGACAGAAAAAAAUUAAAAAAAAGGACUGACGCCAGCCUGACGUCAGCCCCUACUCGGGCUGGCAAUUCCUCAUAGACCCUUUGCUCGGGCCUUGGCUGCUGCUUGGGCUUGCUCACGCUGGAGCUGGUCGACAGGGCCUUGGGCUCUUUCUUCUCCCCCCGUCCCUCGAGCAGGAGCUUCCGCUAAAGCUGCUCUAAUGGUUCGAAGAUGAUGGAAUCCAAUUUGAAAUGGCACAAGUUAAAUUUCCAUAAAGAACUCCCAUAACUUUAUUGACCCCUACGUGAGCAACUUUCCAUGUGAGGUGCUGAUUUCAGUUAGCAUUCUUCUUUGAUCUUUUCAAACCCAUUUAAACAUGGGACUUCGAACCUAUCUGACCUAAACUUCUGACCAAUCUGAGAGCAAGCCUUACUCUUUUCUUUGUUUGACUUCAAAGGUCUCCAAAUUCCAAUAAGACUUUAUCCCAUACUUUAAAUGGGGGAACCAUGACUUUCUUUUGUCUUCCACGACUUUCUUUUGUCCUCCACGUGAGUGGUUUUCUUGCUAUGAAGUAAAAGAAGACCACAUCAACAUUUUUUUAACUUUACUUUUGAUUUGACAAAAGCUUUUUGGUCUGGAACUCUUCUUCUCUCCUUAUGAGUUUUAAACAUUUUUUUUUCUUUGUCUUCAACCUUGAAUUUAGCUUUGCCCAACAUUUGACAAUAACUUACUUCAUCUUUGAGGUGCCACGUAUUUAGCCUUUUUUAAAAAAAACAAGCACUUUCUUUUGAGUUUUCUGUUUCCUGCAUGGAUUUGUCUUCACAGGGGUAAAACUAGUCUUCGACUAAAAUCACGAAUCAUCUUUUGCUUGUUGGAGAUUUUUUCUUCAAUUCCUAAUUUAAACAGGAAUUUGAAUGAAACUUGGUCAGUGGCAACUAGCGCCUAUUCUUCUUUGGCUGGGCUUUCUUUGGGUUUCUGUCUCAAUGAAGAACGCCAAAAGUUUUUGAAGAAGACCAUGGCCCGUCGACCGACAGAAGCUUCGGGACCAUAGCUGGGCAUGUUGGGUUCUUGUUCUCCACUUGUUCAAAUGUGCAGAGUGACGGCUUAUUCUCCGUUGCAUCUCUGAAAAGAGGAAGGGAGAUGUCGAAAACUUCUUUAGACACCCAAGAGGCUACAGGAGGUUGUGGGAAGACGAUUUGCUGCUGUGUUUUGAUGAAAUCUCCGUUGGACAUCACAAGUUGCAGGGUGUCGAUGAUGUUGAAGACAUGGCGCAGCUGCUGUCUCUGUUUGGGCUUCCGUCUAACGUCGGCGGUUUAUUGCAAUGUUGCCUUCAUUAGCUAUUUCACACCGCUGCCAUCUUCUUGCUCAAACCUUCGUCAAAUUUGUUGAUGGUCUGGACUGGCGUGCCCAACUACGUCACCUGGUUUCAUCACCUUCGGAUCACGAACUGCACUGCCCUUGGGCUUCUUCCGGAGGACUGACAGAGACGACGGUUGAAAAAUGGUGGUGUUGCCGUAGUGCAGUGAUCACCUAGACCUGGUUGGAACUUCACGGGGUGGUUUAGACCACCCCGAAGAAAUUCAUGGGACUGGGGAUGGGAGAGAAACAAAUUGUUUUUUUUUCUUCUUGCAAAGCCGAGAGAAAGCAUACAAAGAAAGAUUUAGAAGGAUAGAUUUAUACCUUUAAAUGCUUUGUAGCAUUUCCUGCUCUUUGUUCUUGCGGGUAGCACUUGAUAUCUUCUUCUUUUUUCUUCUUUUGUUUCUCUUUUGCCUUUGCUCUCUUGCUUUGCCUCUCAUUCUCUGUUGUCUUCAUUGCGCUUUUCUGUCUCUCAAUUUUUGCAGAGUACCCUUGUCUUUUUUUUUUUUUUUUCUCUUGCUGUAGUUGAUGCCUAUUUAUAGGCAUCCCAAGUAAAGGAUGAUACAUUCCUGAUCUCUUGGGAUUGUUUCCUGUUUCAUCAUGAUUUCCAGAUUUCCCUGUUUUAUUAAAACAUUCCCCUUAUGUAUUCUUUGUAGAUUAAUUAUACUUGUAAAUCAAGUCAUUGUACACUAUUUAAAUCAAUGAUAAUGCACCCUCUAGGGCAUCGAGGGAUUGAGCCAAAAUACCUUCUUUUGAGUUAUCUUUUAUGGUACUCAGAGCCAGUGACUAACGUCUUUUUUUUCUUUUCGGAUUCUUCCUACUCUUCUCCAUGGCUGCCUCAACCAGUUCGACUACUCCUUCCUCCGACAUCUUCCCUUCUGUUUCUCAUGCGAUCUCCAUCAAACUUGACUCUUCCAAUUAUCCUCUUUGGUUGGCUCAGUUGCUACCUGUUCUUCGCAGUCGUCAAUUGUUGGCUUUUGUUGAUGGUACUUCCAUCUGCCCCUCGGCGUUCUUGUCCGACGAUACCGGCAACGCCUCUUCCAAACCCAACCUCGCGUAUGCUGACUGGGUUCAGAAGGACCAGCUUGUUCUUUCUUGGAUCAAUGGCUCUCUUGGUCACCAGGCCCUCGCCGCCACUGCUCGUCAUUCCACUGCCCGUGAUGUUUGGGUUGCUCUUCAGCAGCGUUUUGCUUCUACAAACCAAAGUCGCAUUCUUCAGCUUCGUACUGCUUUCUUCCAGACCAAACGAGGUGAUUCUUCAAUUUCUGACUUUCUUGAUAAGAUCAAUGGUAUUGCCGAUCAAUUGGCCCUUGCCGGGGCACCUGUUUCUGCUGAUGACAUGGUGCCGGUCGUCAUGUCUAAUGUCGGCCCCAAAUUUGAGAACACUGUUGCUGCUGCUCAGGCCCGUGACAACCCCAUCUCCCUUUCUGAUCUUGAGGCUCUUCUUCUCGUUGCUGAACUCCGCCUUGCUGAUCCUCCUGCUCCGCCGGACUCCAGCGUCUCGGCCCUGGUAGCCUCCCGCGGCUCUUCUGCCUUUCAUGGCCGCUCCUCUUCUGAUCGCGGCGGCGAUCGUGGCUCUGGCCGUUUCUCACGUGGGGGUGGUCGUCCUCAACAUGAUGGGUCUCGCAACAAUGGUGGUGACGGCUAUCGUGGCUAUCGCGGUGCUGGUGGUUUCCAUGAUCGUCCGUUUCGCGAUCGUGGUGGUGGUCGUCCUCAGCACGAUGGCUCUCGCUUCCGUGGCUCCAACAAUGCUUCUGGGGUUCUUGGUCCAGCCCCAUAUCACGGUUCCUCCCGUCCUCGCUGCCAUAUUUGCAAUACUUUUGGUCAUGGUGCUCUUGACUGUGCUCAACGUCUUAAUUUGGCUUAUGAAGGUCGUCCUCCUUCUUCCCGUCUCACUGCCUUGACUGCUCAGCACUCCCAGCCUUGGCUCAUUGAUUCCGGGGCAAACUCGCAUAUCACCAAUGAUCUCAAUACUUUGUCUCAGUCCCGUGAUUAUCGUGGUGGUGAUUCCGUCGGUGGUGUCGUUGGCGGUACAGGUUUGCCCAUUAACCGUAUUGGCUCCUCCACUCUCUCUCAUAAUAAUAUUUCUUUCAAGCUUAAUGAUGUUCUUCAUUGUCCGGAUGCUUCUACUUCUGUGUUGUCUGCUAAUCGGUUUAUGUUGGAUAAUAAUUGUUAUAUUACAUUGUUUCCUUCUUGUUUCUAUAUUCAGGAUAUGGAGACGGGGACGAUUCUUUUUUCGGGCAAGAGUAGCAAUGGCUUUUAUCCCUUUUCCUCUUCAUCACCGACUGCUCAUGGUCGUGCUGCUUUUCUUGGUGUUCGUGUUGGUAGUGAUGUCUGGCACUCUCGUUUAGGCCAUCCAUCUUCUUCCAUUUUAAAAUUUCUUUUUUCUAGGCAUUCGAAUAAGUUGCCUGUUUCUGGCAACCUCAAUCUCAAUACUUUUAUGUGUCAUUCUUGUCCUUUAGGCAAAAGUGUUAAGUUACCUUUUUCUGCAUCAUUGUUUGUUACUCAAGCUCCUCUUGAGCUUAUUCACUCCGACGUGUGGAGUGCGUCCAAUAAAUCUGUUAGUGGUUUCCAAUAUUAUGUUCUUUUUGUUGAUAAUUUCUCUCGUUAUUCUUGGAUUUAUCCCAUGAAAUUGAAAUCUGAAGUCUUUAAUAUUUUUACUCACUUUAAGACCUUGGUUGAAAAUCAAUUCUCCACUAAAAUUAAGAUGUUUCAGUCCGAUGGUGGGGGCGAAUACACUAGUCACCAAUUCAAGAAUUUUUUUCUUCACCAUGGUAUUCAUCAUCGUCUCUCAUGCCCUCACCAUCCCGAACAAAAUGGUUUGGCGGAACGCAAACAUCGUCACAUUGUCGACACUGGACUUACUUUAAUGGCCCAUGCGUCGAUGCCUCCUGCCUAUUGGGCUAAGGCCAUGCACACAGCAGUUUAUCUUCUCAAUCGCCUCCCCUCUAAAGUACUUGGUUUUAUGUCUCCUUAUCAAAAGUUGUUUCUUAAGGAACCUGAUUAUAGUUUUUUAAAGACCUUUGGGUGUGCAUGUUUUCCCCACCUACGACCCUAUAAUAAUAAUAAACUCCAGUUUCGUUCUACUAAAUGUGUUUUUCUUGGUUACUCUCUCAAUCAUCAAGGUUCUCGGUGCUUAGACAUCUCUACUAACCGCAUCUUUUUAUCACGCCAUAUUGUGUUUGAUGAAGGUAAUUUUCCUUUCAAGGCCAUCUCUGGCUCUCUUGCCCCAUCCUCCCCGGCCUCGUCUCCUCCUCCUGUUUUAGAAAUCACUGGGCCUCUUCCGCAUGCCCCCCGACCGUCUAGCAGCCAACCGGUGGUUGUGUCCCCCUCUUUGGAGACUCAUCAAUCCAGUCCAUCAUCCGACCCACCACAGCCGGCCCUACAGGUUUACUCCCGUGACCCUCACAGGCGGGUUCUUUCUUUUGCACAAGCAGCAACCCCAUCUGUCACUCCCAGGCCCACGCCUGCUGUUGCCUCUGCAGUUCAACCUGAUGCGCCUCCCGAGGCUCCAUCUGCUGCUGUACCACCUGCCGUGCCCUCUACUUCCCAUGGUAUGCUCACUAGGUCCAAAACGGCUUCUCUUAAGCCUCAUAAAUAUGUUUUUUCUGCUGCCAUUUCUUCUUCUACCGGUCCUAUUGAGCCUACUUGUUUUAGUCAGGCCAACACUUUUCCCGAAUGGCGUACUGCGAUGGCCGAUGAAUUUAAUGCACUUCAACGUGCUGGUACUUGGACUCUUGUUCCUCGUACCGCUUCUAUGAAUAUUUUGCCAAACAAAUGGGUGUUUCGUAUUAAACAGAAUUAUGAUGGGUCUAUUCAGCGGUAUAAGGCUCGUUUGGUAGCCAAUGGUUUUCAUCAGCAACCCGGCCUUGAUUAUGGUGAAACUUUUAGUCCUGUUGUCAAUCACUCUACUAUUCGCUUAAUUUUGGCUCUUUCAGUUCAGUUUCAAUGGCCUGUUCGUCAGUUGGAUGUUCAGAAUGCUUUUCUUCAUGGCUCUUUGUCUGAGGAGGUCUAUAUGCACCAACCUCGUGGCUUUGUUGAUCCACAGUUCCCUCAUCAUGUGUGCCGCCUUCGUCGUUCUUUAUAUGGGCUCAAGCAGGCGCCCCGUGCAUGGUUCCAAUGUUUUUCCACUCAUUUGGAAGAUUUGGGUUUUCGUCCCUCUACUGCGGAUCACUCGCUUUUUACCUAUAUUCAUGGCUCUACUCGCAUUUAUCUCUUAAUUUAUGUUGAUGAUAUUUUGGUCACCGGGAAUAAUCCCUCAUAUUGUCACCCUCAUUAAGAAUUUGGGCAUCCGUUUCUCUAUGAAGGACCUUGGACCGGUUCAUUAUUUCUUAGGCAUGGAGGUGGUCCGCACUCCAUCAGGUCUCUCUCUUUCCUAACAAAAGUAUGCCACUGACCUACUUCACCGCACCAAAAUGCAUGGUGCUAAGCCGGUUCCUACUCCUGCCGUUAGUGGGCGACGGCUCAGUCUUCAGGAUGGUGACCCUCUGCCGGAUCCUAUUGAAUACCGAAGUGUUGUCGGCGCCCUUCAAUACUUGACUCUCACUCGUCCCGACAUCAACUUCGCCGUCAACCAAGUCUGCCAAUUUCUUCACCAGCCGACUUCUACUCAUUGGGCCGCCGUCAAACGCAUUCUUCGUUACCUUGUCGGCACUACUUCUCACGGUCUUACCUACAAGCCUGGUUCCUUUCGUCUUACAGCAUUUUCCGAUGCCGAUUAUGCCGGGAUCCUGAUGAUCGGCGUUCCACCGGGGGCUAUUGCUUGUAUCUGGGUUCCAAUCUUGUCUCAUGGAGUGCCAAGAAACAAAAUGGGGUCUCUCGGUCCAGCACUGAAGCCGAGUAUCGUCAACUUGCAAUCACCGCUGCCACUCUUUCAUGGUUUCGUAUGCUGUUCCGUGACCUCCAGUUUCCUCUACAUUGUCCUACACUGUUUUGUGACAAUAUCAGUGCUAUAUCCCUUGCUUCCAACCCGGUGUUUCAUGCCCGCACUCGGCAUGUUGAGGUGGAUUACCAUUAUGUUCGUGAAAAGGUUGUUCGCAAGGAGAUUGAUGUUCGUUAUCUUUCUACUCAUGAUCAGAUUGCUGACUUCUUCACCAAGGGCCUUUCUCUUCCUCGUUUUCGACUUCUGGUUUCCAAGCUUCCUGUACUUGAUUGUACUGUCAGCUUGCGGGGGCGUAAAGGAUGAUACAUUCCUGAUCUCUUGGGAUUGUUUCCUGUUUCAUCAUGAUUUCCAGAUUUCCCUGUUUUAUUAAAACAUUCCCUUUAUGUAUUCUUUGUAGAUUAAUUAUACUUGUAAAUCAAGUCAUUGUACACUAUUUAAAUCAAUGAUAAUGCACCCUCUAGGGCAUCGAGGGAUUGAGCCAAAAUACCUUCUUUUGAGUUAUCUUUUCCCAAGAAGGCUCUAGAAUUUGUUACGUGGGGGAAGAUGGAGACCAUGACCUCCUGCCACUUUCUGUUAACCCCCUUUUCUGACUCCACGUUUCUUUUUGUUGCAGAAAAUGGGGGAGCACCUGUUUUUUGCACGUUACUUCCCCCCUUAUGUAGGAAAAAAAUUAUAAAUUUUUUAUUUAUUCCUGAAUGUAUUUGUAUGUAAAGCUCAUCCUCAUCUUUUGGGUUGGAUUACAUUUUUGUUUUACCUUGAAGUUUGACUCAAUUUGAAUGGACUUUAUUUUUUCAUAUUUUUUUUGUUCAACAAGCGUAGUUUUCUUUUUCUUUUUCUCUGUGAAAUAUAUAGUAUGAAGAGGGUGGAAAUGGGUCGGGGCUUACAUUUCCUUCACUUUCUGCCAAAAGAUUGUUCCGAACCACACUGAUAGAGCGAAAAUAAACGCGAAACGUGCUAGAUUGUACUUUGGACUUCUCCAGUGGGACAAGUGUUGUUUCCACAGACAUGCCUUAAACUGCACCCAGCUAUUUUGAGCAAAAGGAGUGGGAAGGUUCAAGCCCCUUGAACCCGGCUUUGGUUCGCUCAACCGGCUAACCAACUCGACCGUGUCUCUCUGAAAAAGAAGGAAACAAACAUAUAAAUUUGAUGAUUGAAAUAAAUACAUGAUUAAUCCUAAAAUAAUGGAAAUAUUAGAGAUAUGCCCUUACCUAUACUGAGUAGAGGGUUUAUAAAUUUCAGCAAAAUCUAAACAAAGUUUUGCCUCUACUGAGGCAGAAGUAACUUCUAACAUCCAAGUUGCUGGAUUGUAAUUUUCUUUGAUCUUUGGUACAUCACGAAUAUCCUCAAAAUAUUUGACGAGUUUACUCGAGUGAUGACCGAGAACUCCAGAAUAGAUGAUUUGGCCUCCCCUUUUCAUCAAAAGUAACUGCAAAAAUCAAUGUCUUCCGUUAGUGAUCGAGUGGCUUUUAUGAUUUGGUUUAGUUUUCUUGGACUCCAUGACAAUGCUCGUUAUACUACCUCGUCAAAUGACUGAAAAAUAUCAAUGCUUGGCUUGUGGAUUGUGCAAACAGUUGUCCUUCCUGUGGAAACAACAUUCUUUACUACGCAAAUGGCAAUUGCAGCUGCUCUGGCGUCUAAGCCUGACGUAGGUUCAUCCAUAAAUAUUAUUGAUGGGUUGGAUACAAGCUCCACUGCAAUUGUUAGCCUUUUGCGCUGUUCAGUAGAUAGGCCAGUUUGUCCAGGAAUGCCAACUAAGGAAUCUCUUAUAUCCUCCAGUUCAAUCGUUUGAAUGACUUCCUCCACAAAUUUCUGCAUAGAUUAAGCAAAGGAUACUUUCUUUUAUAUGUUCCAGGAAAUUUGCAUAUUAUUGAUAAAUUGAAAGAAUAUCAUCCUACAGCUUUUAUGUCUGGAUCAGUUUCGUGUGGCAACCUCAACCAAGCUGAGAACAUAAGCGAUUCUUCUACCGUGAUCUGUGGAGAAUGUAUAUCAGUCUGCUCGCAGUAUCCUGAUAUUCUUGCAAAUGUCUUCUGGACCUUGGGGUACCCUCCGAUUCUUAUAUCUCCCACGAUACUACCUCCUGUUUCCCUUCCAGAAAGAACAUCCAUGAGAGUUGUUUUUCCAGCCCCAUGCGGUAGGAAUUCCUGGACUGAAUGCUCCUGUUAUAUCUUUAAGCAACUGAAGCUUUUUCUCCUUGAAAGCAUGCUGUCUCAUUUCCUUUUUUAAGAAGGAAUGAAGUUAAAAUACAACUAAAUAGUUUUCCAAUGAUACUAAUAUGUGAAAAUUGACUAAUGAUUUGAUUAAUUACCGGAGGUGUAUCAACAUAAUACUGCACGUCCUUAAAUGAGAUUGUCAGUGGCUCGAACGGCAGGACCAUUCUCCCUGUUUAACAAAUUGAUUUACUCUCGAAUAAUUCAGUUGUUAAAAAAAUUCCUUGCUCGUUGCUUUGAAUGGAAAAUGUGAAACUGAUAACCCGGAUAAACUGGAUGCAACAAUUCAUCUCACCUAGUGUUAUCUUUUCUCCCAUGGUUUUGAAUAAAUCGGAUAGAGUUGAUUCAUUUUCCAACGGUGCACCAGUUUGGGUUAAUAUUUAACAUUGGGCUUAUAGGAGAGAAAGCCCAAAAGAGUUCAAUAAGAAGAGUUUCGUCCGAAGCCCAGCACCAAGCCCAGACCGUCCAUCUCAAGACCAAUUGGCACUCUCCUAUUAAUGCAAAGGCUAAGUGCUUACAAGAGAAGUGACAACUGAUGAAAAUCAACCUACUCUCAGCCCAAAAGUACUUUUCAGUGGCAAUACAAGUAAAAUAUUGAUGAGUCACUACCAUUCAAUUGCUUUUGGGUAAGAACAAAGCUACAAGCGGUCGGACUAAUUCGUUUAUAAAAGGAGGAAGAGGGCUCAGAGACAAGGACACUCAAUCAAUCAAACAUACAACUUGUCUCUCAUCCAAGCAAAUACCCAGAAAGCUGUGCUUUGUCCAGACUCUGCACCCUUUUAGCCUUAGAUUUCCUUAGAAAGACAUCUUUUUUCUAUGUAAAAGCUCUGCUACAUUUUUCUAAAUGUUGUAGUAUCGAUCCCUCGUGUAUAAACUCGUUUCCAGUCAUCUCCUUUAGUACUCAAUUCUUUUGUAAACUGCAAAGAGAAGAGAUCGCAAGGCGUUUAACCUUGCUUGACAAAGUGAAAUCUUGCCCAACUCUCUUUGUUUUUAUCUUUCAAUUAACAAAUAUGGUGUUAUAAUGUAUUCCGUAGUUUAUAUUCAAGUUAUUUCCAGUCCUUUGAUGACCCAAAGCCCCAUCAGUUCUCAGAUCUGGUUCACUUAGUGGUUUUAUCAAGAAUUGAAAUGAAUUAAACUGAUGACUUGAUCAGAUCUAAGCCUUCACCCCUCAAGCAUACAAAAUAACUAAAAGUCUUUGAUCUCAAGGCAUAGAAAAUAACUUAAUGUAGACUUAAUCCAUCUACAACAAUCCUUUGAUAAACAAGAAGUCAGAAAUAACUUGGGGUGCAAGUAAUCGGCUUAAAACACACUUGUUCUACAUCUGCCAUACAGAGAUGGCAGUGGCACGCCUAAGCACCUAGUUAGUUUUGAAUGCGAGCCUCAAGGCCUAUACCUAAGGCCCCACAAAGGCACCUUUCAGAACUAACUUUGUUUUCCUCUUGCAGUAUUGUGACAAGCAGGAGCCCAACAAUCAACCAAAGUGCCAACUCCUCGGGCAGCUGUGUGCUCGAGCCAGGAACGCCCACCAACCAGAUUUCCUGCCCAAAAAGCACCAGUUUUGCGAGCUCCCCUUCUUCAAAGUUGAGAUAAUCUUUUUUUCGAAACAAUAGCCCGAUACACCUUUGGAGCUGUAUGAGGAAAAGCUUAAGUAAACUGAUGUGGAGCUGUAUGAGGAAAAGCUUAAGUAAACUGAUGAAGUGGAUUGUAAUACUUAAGUUAUCAUCUGUCAAUUAAAAUGAAUCUAAGUAAGUUAAUGCUAAAAUAAAUCCAAGAUCAGACAGCAUUGUGAACCCGAGUAAUGCUCCUACUGAUAUCCAAUAGAAAUAGCCAUCAAAGUUCAAACCAUGCCUGGUUAGAACUUUAUUCCCUAGGGUUGUGUUUCCCUCUGAGACCUAAAGAAAUGAAUUAACACUGUCAAAACACUUAUUCGACUUCGAUGAUCGGGUACUAAAAAAGUUUAUCAUCUUGAGUUGUACCUUUUGCCAGCGAGGAGCGAGGAACUCGUUUAGAGUUGUACCGAUUUCCCCAUAAGUCAUAGGUGAACACCAGAAUAGUCAACGCAACCAAGGAGGUAAAGAGGCUGCAAAACACCCCUUAUUAGUCUAGUUGUAGUUGAAUGUAACUAAAGGAAAAAUACGAUAAAUGGACUUACAUCGUGGCAAGAUGAAGCCUCCGGAUAAAAACAUUAGCACUAGGAUUAAAAUACCGCAAGUUGAUGCAACAACCAUAGUUUGGAAAACUACAGCAAUUAAACGACAUAUGGAUGUCGAUGCUUGAUGGAGAGCAAAUAGCACAAGGAACUGGAAGAAGAACCUAAAAACCAUAGCAUAUUCUUGAGGCAUUAUUAUGAUUAUUGUUCAAGCCUUUCAUGUUCUGUCGUGUGACUAUAAAGUUGAGAUCUUACGUUUUUAUGUCUGGAGCGUACCCAAUCAAAUGGUAAGUUAUUGCUGUCCACAGCAGUGAAUCAAUCACUGAAAAUGGAACCUUCAGGAUAGACUGGAAGAGAAUACGCCCAUGCUGGAUACAGAUUGAAUCCUCUUUGCUUGUAAACCACUGGUAAUCUAGUAACAGUCACAGCUCUGCAAUUCCGUUGGUCAUAAGUCGAAUAAGUGUAUAAAACAAUGAGUUCAUAAAAAAACUUGCAUUUAUCAAAUCCACGGUCCUACGGGUGCUUAUACAGAUUGCCAUUGUAAUAAAUGCAGUGAUGACAAGCUGUGGGAAAAAAAGAGAGAAAAUAUAGUAAGUGAUUUUGAGUUUAACUUCAGAAGUACAACCCCUAAAAGUGAUAUCAUUAGGCAGUAAACCUGAGCUGUUUUGAAUACGUAGAGAAAGGAAUUCCGUUUCAUGAGAAGAAGCUCUCGGGCCAUACAACCUUUGAACAACUCCCAUUUGCUCACAGAGUAAGUACUAAAUGAUAAGGCAUUAUCAUGGCACUGUGAUUUAUUGUAUGGUUUUGAGAGCUCAUCGUCUAAUUUCUUCCCCGAGUAACUUGCUCUGAAAAGUUCAAAAAAUUUGUUUGCAGAAACAUGACCGUAGGGAAUGUUAUCAUGCUUCCAGUAUUGUGCUUGAUCCUUCUUUGAGAUCACCUCUUGAAGGAAAUCUGCAGCACCCUUUCUUGGUGGGCACUUGAAACCAGAGUCUUCGAAAAACUCAACUGCGUGGCUGCGAUGACCGUGGUAAACUAUCUUCCCCUCUGCCAUUAGUAUUACAUCAUAAAAAAUAUCAAUGGUCUCGGGUGCUGGUUGGAGAAGUGAUACCAAUGCAGUUGUAUCUGUGAUAUGCACCAGCUGCUGAAGAUAGGUAACUAUCUGAAAGGUUGUAGAACUGUCUAAUCCCGUUGAUAUCUCAUCCAUAAAAAGAGCUUUUGUAGGACCUACAAUCAUUUCUCCUGAAGAUUAAACAGAAGAGGAAUGUUAUGUUUGAAACAUUUUUCUACAUGGGAAUUAGUAAUUACAUUCAAAUUUCCCUCGGAUUCAAGAUUUCACUACCGGUUGUCAGCCUUUUCUUCUGGCCACCAGAAAUGCCUCUUCUUAAUGCAUCACCAACCAUUGUGUCACUCACUACACAUACCCAGUCCAAGUAUCUAAAGAGAUUCCAAAAUAUCGUAAUUCAUUUUUCCUGUCCGAGUGAGUUAGAAAUGUCACGUUUGAACUACUUAAUGUCAGCAUUGUCCAUGUCCAACACUGGUUGGAGAAAAAUUUACCUUCAAAACAUAAUCGGUUUGGAGAUUUUCCCUUUGUCCUUCAACUGAAAUGGCCUGUGAGUAUUAUGUAAAUCUCUAAAACCUCUAACACAAAAGGGUGGUAAGAUUUACUAAAAGGAAUGUUAUGAGACUUUACAAUUACCUUCAUGUAGGUGUCAAUAUCUGGAUCGGGGACUAUUCCUGCUUCUUUUUCCCUUCUGCUGAGCUCCAUUAUUAUAUAUGCAUAAAAUACGAUCGAAAUUAAACUUCAUACGUCAAUAGAAGUACACGACUAACCCAAUAGUAAAUGCAAUAGGGGAUAAGGAAUAUGCACCAGCUCUACUGCCAACACCCUGGCAGCGGGAGGAAAAGUCAAUUGUUUCCCUCAGUCAUCUCAGGCAGGUGAAGGUCAUGCUGGCUAAUGUAAGCUGAUGUUUUUUGGGGAACAAACUCAUCUAGCUUGUAACCAUUAUAAGUGUUGUAAACUGAAAUAGAAAGGAACGAAGUUACCUAAAAAAAUGUAGAAGCCUUGAGUGGUGAAUGAUUAUUGGGAUGAGUUGCGGACUAAGUCGCUUUCUUUAAGACGUUUCGCGGCUCUACCCAAAGUGUGCAAGCAGUUCACAAACACCACAUCGUCCUAGGAUAAAACAGCCCAAAACCUUCUUCUUCUUCUUCUGAUAAAGUUCUUCCUUGUACAGUAGAAGAACCUUCGAAUUCACAUUCUCUCAAUAUGUUGCUAACCAAAACUAUAUAUUAGAAAAUAUAUCUUCUUUUUUUUCCGCAUACUUUCAAUGAUCCAGGGACUACUAUAUAUACAUUUAGACGAAAGAGAUGUUGAGGGUUUGAGAAAAUUGAAAGCAGGACAAAAUCAAAACGUAAGUCAAAUAAAACGGUUUGAUUAUGUAUCAUGACAUGAUCUUCUUCUCUAUACAAAGAAGGAAUGGCACGUUUCAAACUUAAAAGGAGAUAACUCCUUACCUAAUUGAAAAGUCAAAAUCAAUUGGCAGUUAUGCAUAGAAUAUUGGUAAUAAAACAAAACGUUAUGUAUAUAAUAUUGGUAAUAAAAUAAAACAUAAAUAUAUUUAAAUAUUUAAAUAAAAACAUAUUUACUCAACAAUCCCCCACUUGUUUUUGUUUAAAACUAUACAUCAAGCAAUAUAUCGUAAAGCUAUACAGAAGUAAAUGUGUUUCUCAACUUAAAUCUAUACAUAGUGUUAGUGAUCGAGAUUAUACUAGAGUAACUUAUAGUUUUGAACUCUAUCCCUAACAACACCACACACACAACUUUAUUAAGGUGAAGUUCAAAAAGCCAGCACAUUACAACCAUGUGCUUGUAUCCCAGUAUAGUGAACGCUCUAGAAACUUGCUCAAGAUUUCAUAGGAAGCGGCAUCACUUCCACAUUCACAUAGUUAAGACUAUCAAGGUAUUCCUGUAGCUAGAUAUCUCACUUAACAUAGAGUAUAGACCUUACUAAGAGAAAAAAAAAUCUCAACCUAAAUACGCUUCAGGAUGUCAUGCUUCUUAGGGAUGGACAUGGAAUAAUAUUCCAAACUAAAAUUAGCAAGACUUCACUCUUAUCACUUGUGACUUGUUAUUACCCUUUGAACCUAUUUCUUGGGAUCUCUAGUCUAUAGGUUGGGUUGCUAUCACAAAUAACUCAAUUCUCUAGGGCUUUAGUCCCAUCCCUUUCGAGGUUUUCCAAACCUUUUCUCGUGCUAGUCCUUUUGUCAAAGGAUCAACCAAGUUUUCUUCAUACCGUAUAUGAUCCACUCUCACAGCUCCAUUAGACAGGUAAUCUCUUACAGUGAUGUGCUUACGACGUAUUUGUCGCCCUUUCCCAUUAUAAUAAUGAUUUUGCACUUUAGCUAUUGCCGAUGUGCUAUCACAAUGGAUCAAAACUGCUGGAAUCGGUUUCUCCCAUAAAGAGGUAUCUGACAGUAGGUUUCUCAACCAUCCUGCUUCUUCGCUUGUCGUAGCUAGCGCUAUUAAUUCUGACUCCAUAGUGGACUGAGCCAUGAUAGUAUGUUUCUUAGACUUCCAUGAUACAACCCCACCACCAAGACUAAAAAUACAUCCACUAGUGGCUUUAGAGUCAUCUGAAAGGGUAUUCCAAUCAGCGGCACUGCAACCUUCUAGGACAGCGGGAAACUUCUCAUAGUGUAAUCUAAAAUUCAUUGUCCUUUUAAGGUAUCUCAUAAGCCUAUCUAUGGCAUGCCAAUGCUCCAAACUAGGUCUACUAGUAAACCUGCAUCAAACUCCUACGACAUAAGAUAUAUCAGGCCUAGUGCAAUCAGUAGCAUAACGAAUGCUACCAAUAAUACUCGCAUACUCAGAUUGUUUAACACUGUCACCAAUGUUCUUGAACAAUUUUACACUAGGAUCAUGAGGAGUACAUGCUGGUUUACAAUCAAAAUAAUUAUACUUUCUUAAAAUUGUUUCUAUGUAGUGAGAUUGAUCUAAAGAAAACCCAUGUUCAAACCUAGUUAUUUUCAAACCAAGUAUUACGCUAACUUCACCCAAGUCUUUCAUAUCAAAAUUAGCAGAUAACAAAGAUUUGACAUUAUUCACAACAUGAAUAUUCGAACCAAAAAUAAGCAAAUCAUCCACAUAUAGGCAUAUAUUACUUUCAGACUUAUAAUAGAUGCAUUUGUCACUUUCAUUUAUUUUAAAACCAUUUGAAGUAACCAAACUAUCAAAUUUUGCAUGCCAUUGUGUGGGAGCCUGUUUCAAUCCAUAAAGUGACUUAUUUAACUUGCAAACUUUAUUUUCUUUUCUUGGAAUAAUAAAACCUGUGGUUGACCCAUAUAUAUUUCUUCCUCUAAUUUACCAUUUAAGAAAGCUGUUUAACAUCCAUUUGGUGCACAACAAGAUCAUGAAUAUAAGUUAAGGCAAACAAUACACGAAUAGAUGUUAUUCUAGUCACAGGUGAACAAAUAUAAAAGAAAUCAAUCUUUUCUCUUUGUCUAUAGCCUUUGGCAAUAAGUCGGGCUUUAAAAUUUUCAACUGAUCCAUCAGGUUUUAAAUUUUUUUUAAGAAUCUAUUUGCAACCUAUUGUUUUGCAACCAGGUGGAAGAUCCACCAAGUGCCAAGUUUGAUUUGACUCCAGGGAGUCCAUUUCAUCAUUUAUAACUUCUUGCCAAAAAAUUGCAUCUAAAGAAGUUAAAGCUUCUUGAAUUGUAUUAGGAUCUUCUUGUAAGUUAUAUACAUGGAAAUCAGGGCCAAAAUCUUUAGCUAUUCGAGCUCUUUUACUUUUCCUAGGUUCUAAUGCAGAUUGACUAUGUUUUACAACAUUAGGUUCAUAAAUUUUAGAAGAAUUAGAACCCCCACUAUUUUGAAGAUUAAAAGGAAAUUUAUUCUCAUAAAAAUCAGCAUCAAGUGACUCAAUUAUGACAUGGUUUUUCAAAUCAUAACAUCUAUAUGCUUUGCUAUUACAUGCAUAACCAAUAAAAACACAUUCAUAUGCUCUACUAGCCAAUUUCGAUCUUUUUGGACCAAGUUUACGAACAUAAGCUAAACAACCCCAAGUUUUGAAAUACAAUACAUUUGUUUUCUUAUUUUUCCAAAUUUCAUAAGGAGAGAUAUUCGAUUCUGAGGUAGGAAUUCUAUUUAAUACAUAACAUAUAGUCAACACAAUUUCACCCCACCAAUAAGAAGCAGCUCCAGAACUAAGUAGCAACACUCAAUUCGCAAAGAGUUCGAUUUUUUCUUUCCGCUUUACCAUUCAUUUCAGGAGAAUAAGGAGCAGUAGUUUCAUGAAUAAUUCCAUUAGACUUAAACAAAUUAACAAAUUCAAUGGAUUCAUAUUCUUGUCAUCUAUCACUACGAAAUCUUUUAAUCUUAUGAUUAAACUGAUUUUCAACUUCAGUAAAGAAAGUUUUGAACAUGUCAAUAGCUUUACUUUUAUUUUUCAUAAGAUAGACAAAACAGUAAUUCAAACAAUCAUCAAUAAAGGUAAUAAAAUAACGUUUUCCAUUUCUAGUUAACACUCUAUCAAAUUCGCAUAUAUCAGAAUGAAUUAAGUCAAGUGGUUCAGAUUCUCUAUUGACAGAUUUAUGUGAAGUUCUAGUGAUUUUAGCUUGACUACAAUAUUCACAUUUUUCAAAAUCAGUCAACGAUAAGUUAGGUAAAAAGCCUAAGUUACUCAUGUUCUUAACCAAGAGUUUGUUAACAUGACAAAGUCUAGCAUGCCAAGUAUUAAAAGAAGACAACAUGUAAUCAGAAGUAGACAUUUUAUCAACAUUCAAUUUAAACAUUCCAUUAGUAGCAUAUCCCUUUCCCACAAAAACCCCAUUUCUAGUAAGAGUAUACGUAUUUGCUCCAAACGUUUGAGUGAAUCCAGCCUUGUUGAGAAGUAAGCCUGAGACCAAAUUCUUCCUUAUUGUUGGAGCAUGCAUCACAUCUUUCAGUAUCAUGGGUUUUCCAGAGGUGAACUUUAACUCCACCUCUCCAGUACCAGCAACAUCAGUUGAGUGCGAAUCACCCAACAACACAUUUCUUCCCUCAGCCAUAGAAUAGGUCUUGAAAAGAGAACGAUCGUAGCAAGCAUGGGGAGAAGUGCCAGUGUCCACCCACCACCCACCACCCCUCGGACUAAGUUGAUUUCUGAUAUCAUUGCAAUUAGUUGCUCUUCAACAAGAUUUGUUUGAGAAGCAAAGUUUUCCUUAUAAUGCAUGGCAGAUUGAAUUCAUCUUAAAAUUGUUGUAAACUGAAAUAGAAAGGAACGAAAUUACUCAAAAAAAAUGUAGAAGCCUUGAGUGGUGAAUGAUUCUUGGGAUGAGUCAGGGACUAAGUCACUUUCUUUAAAACAUUUUGCGGCUUUGCCCAAAGUGUGCAAGCAGUUCACAAACACCACGUCGUCCCCAGGAUAUAACAUCCCAAAACCUUCUUCUUCUGAUGAAGUUCUUCCUUGCACAGUGGAAGAACCUUCGAACUCACACUCUCUCUCAAUAUGUUGCUAACCAAAACUAUAUAUCAGAAAAUAUAUCUAUUUUUGUUCCGCAUACUUUCACUACUAAAUAUACAUUUAGACGAAAAAGACGUUGAGAGUUUGAGAAAAUUGAAAGCAGGAAUAAAACGGUCUUAGGUCCGAUUCUCGCCGAAGGCGAAUUUGAACCACUAAACCGUAGCACUAAGUGGCUCCUAACAAUGUCUCUUAACAAGUUUAGAGGUAUUUGUCUUCACUAAUAAAUGAAAAGCGUUUGAAUUUCAUGAAUGACAAGUGCAAUACAAAAUUCAAAUUAUCAUGGUUCUUCCAUUAUAUGAUUUAACCAAAGCAUACCAUCUCUUAGUGUAAAUAUAUCAUUGAACUAUCAUUGAAGUAGUUCCAACAUUCGUAUACCAUCUUAAUUAUCAAUUUACUAUUACAAAAUUUCUAUUAAUUUUUCUUUACAAACUAAAGUGUUAUUAGGCUAAGUUGUUAAAUAUUAGGAGAUGAGUAGGGAUCGACCCACCGCCAAAGUACAUAUAUAGGUAUUACUGUUUUCUGCUACUAUGAUAAAGUGUAAUAUACUUCUAUAUAUUAAAAGAAAAUUCACUGAUACAUUUCCACAUGUAAACAUUCAACAUUGGACAUAUAUAAUAUUUUUCCCUACUUCUUUGGAAAUUUAAUUUUCCAAUGCAAUAGGCAAAUAGGGAAACAAAGACAAUCCCAACUGGGAAAGCAAUGAGAACAAGAGCCACAAGGCCUAAACAAUCAUGGUGGAAACCAUAAUAAUCUUGUAGGAUUAUUUUCUAUUUAAAAAACGUAUGUGAACAUACACAUUAUUUUCUAUUAUAAUAUGUGUAAGUUUAUGAAGGGAAAUAUUCACUAAAAUGAUCAAAAAUCAAAUUCUGAUGCCAAAACAAAAUCAAAUAUUGUCAUACUGAAAAACUAAUCAUUUCAACAAAUGAGAUUCAAAUAUUUGAUUAUUUUGGCCAAUUUUCCUGUAUUGAUACCCUAACCUAAAGUAUAAAUUACUUGCACAUCCAAAUUAUAACACAUGAAUUAACAACACUCCGUCAAUUAGACUUGUGUUACAUGUAUUUACACGGUUAUUGUCAUUCCAAGUGCUCAAAUGCUAAUGGAGUUACACAAAACCAUCAAAUAUUAGAAAAGAUUGGAUUCAAGAUAUACUAAGUAUAAUGUACAGAAUGUUGCAUAUAAAGUACCAGAAAACUUUAGUAGGUGACCAAGAGAACCCUAUUGCAGGAUAUGCAACGGCUACAUACAAAACUUGUAACAUUGUAUAAUGUAUUUUAAUGGCAACAUGCAACAUUUAACACUUUACACUAUAUUUGGAUGAGGAAGUUUAAGAUUGCUAAGGAAAUUUAAAGUAACGGAAAUUGAAAUGAUGGAAUUUUAUUUUAUAGAAUAUGUGAAUUUUCUUGUUUGGUUGAGGAAAAUAAACUUGGAAUUUAGAUAAAAGUCAGAAUUUGUAAAUUGACAUGCACCAGUUUCCUUGUUUGGAUUCAUAAACAUAUAUAGGAAUUUAGAAUUUUCGGGUGAAAAAAAAACUUGGAAUUUGGGACCUCCAAUUCCCAAGUUUAAAUUCCAUGUAAAUAUGUAUCAUUUCCCAAUUUCUAUGAUUGAGUGCUUAAAAAUAACAAAUUCCGUAAUCAAUUCCAUUUAUUUUUAGGUUAACCAAACAAGAGAAUUCACAAAUUCUAGAAAAUAAAAUCCUGUCAAUUCAAUUUCCGUCAUUUUAAAAUUCCUUAGUAAUCUUAAAUUUCUUCAUCCAAACAUAGUGUUAAGAACAAUGGAAUUUGAAAUGAAAUUUGUUAUUUUAAACCCUCAUUCAUGAAAAUUCAGAAAUGACACCAAUUUACAUAGAAUUUAAAAUGGGAAUUAGAUGUCCCAAAUUCCAAGUUUUUUUCUCAUGCAGAAAUUCUAAAUUUCUAUGUUUAUGAAUCCAAACAAGAGAAUUGGUACAUGUUAAUUUUUAAAUUCCAGCUUUUAUCAAAAUUCCAAGUUUAUUUCCCUCAUCCAAACAUAGUGUUAGUUUAAAACUGUGAAGAUUUUGAUUUAUCGAUUACAAACUAAAUAAGUACUUGAAUUCUUAGGCACUUCAACGUAUGAACUUGUGCAAAUGAACAAGGUCGGCCCUGAGAUUUUGAAGGCCCGAGCUAAGCUACCAAAUAGGAGCCCUUUAAUUCUUAGGCACUCCAAUUGGUUGUAGGUUCAUAUACAUUUUAUUUUUAUAGUAAAUACUCAUUAAUUUAUUAUUAUAUCGUACUCUUAUUUAAUUAAUAAUCAACAAUAUGCUAAAGUUUUAAGAAGGUGUUUGGACCCAAAAUUACAUCAUCGGCCCGUGCAAUCAAGGCCGUUGAGUAGGCAUAGCUCUCAAUCGUCGGAUAAAAAAGCAGAGAUAAUUUUGUUAUUAAAGGAUAAUAUUAUGGUUUUUAUCAUAAUUAUCUUUUAAUGAUUUAUCUCGACAUCUUCUUAUGAAAGAGGGAAAAUAUAUCUCCAAGCUGGAAACACGCAGCACAAUUCAAAGCGAUUUGGAUGUUUGGCGUGUGGAUGUGGUUUGGAUCGGUUUUAGUUGACAAAUAUGCAUGCAUGUGAUAAGGGUGAAGUAAAAAUGGUGAUAUGCUUUGAAAAUGAGUCUACAUGUGUUGGUGAUAAGAUGGCAGCAACUGCCUUGCUGACAAUUAACAUUGGGUAUUUUAUGCUAAAUCAUGCAUAUUGGUAUAUGCUUUUGUAUUGUGGGCCAGCAUAUGUUUUUUUUUUAUGGAGCCAAAUUCAUUUAACAAUGGAUAUUUGGAACAAUAAGAAGUUUAAGUAGGCAUAGGCCUUUGAGAGUUUGAGUUUCAGUUGGUUUCUACGAAAUCAUCAAGGCCACGCCAAGCGGGAUCAUGCAUAUUUGAAAGAGAAUAUUCCUAUUAUUUUGCAACUUACGACGGCAAUCUUACGGUUAUAGAGGCAAUGACAACAUAAAGGUGGUAUUUCGAAUUCAACACACAAACUGCCAUGCACAAACUCUUGCUCUACGCGAAACCUCUUAACAACCUUGAGAUUUUUAUUUUCCUUUUUCGCCAACACAUCUUCAGUUUGGAUAAAUAGCACUAUGAAGGCAACCGGUGAACAUCUUCACUUUGGAUAAACAAUACUAUAACCGUAGAACCAUUCGACCAUGAAGCACCUUUAGUUUGGAUAAACAACAUUGCUCCGAGACCGAUUGAUUACCUAUCCAAGUCUCGGUCAAGAAGAAUUUUCAAGUCCUUACUAGUAGAGAUCAUCUCAUCAGCCUUCUCGACGAAGUGAGGUGUUACCAGGUUACUACAUUCGGCACCCUGAGAGCCCAAUUUGAUAUUGAACUUCGUAGAACUAAUAGCCUUGUCUUCAGGUUCUAGAACCUGAAGGUCGAGACGUGUUCAUUUCUCGACCGCAGUCGUGAGAUUCAGAAGUCAAUAGUGCGCCCAAUGCAACAUCAACUCAUUUUACUUACCGGUCAAGCUCGACCGUCGAGUUGGCAUGCCCCACACACAACCGAAGGACAUAGUUAGCUUUUUAAUUACUCGGCUUGUGCGCCACGUAUACUUGAUAGUUUUUAAGAUCAACAGAAGGUAAAGAGCAAUAAAAACUGAUUAACGAAUUUAACAAAUUUAAUAGCGCCAAUUGAUCCUCUUGUAUUCUUCUUGAAAUCAAUUUCACAAUAACGAAUAUUAGAAUCAUGAGAUGAUUGAUAAUAAAUUAUUGAAACAGAGAAGAUAUAGCAAAUAAGAUAAGGUAGCUGGCAUUUGAUAGCGAUUUUGCUUGUAAAACUACACUUUUUGUCCAUCCAGAAGAAACCCAUUCUUCUGUUACAUGGCUUAACCGUGACCACACAAAACAGGAGAGCACGGGAAGGGCACCAGAAGUGGAGGGCAAACAAUCCUUGUCCGUGCUUUGUCCAUCGAGAAUAAGAAAUUGUAGGGACUAGGGGCCCAUUGCUCUUUUGAGAUGCAAGUUAAGGGACCUAACAAAGGGAAGUAAAAAGCAUUGGUAGGACAAAACAAGCCGUUUUAGGAAAACAACUUGGGGGAAGAUUCUCUCAUUUCCUAAUCUCUCUCCCAUUUUCUCUCCUUCUAUUUGAACGGUUACGGUUUAGCUACGUCAAUAUCUUAUAUAUAUAUUUUUAGAGACGAUAAGACAAAAAAUAAUAUGUGGGAGAAGGGAAAAGAAGGGGAUGAGAAUAGGAGGGGAGAUAAUUCUCUUCCAAACAACUUGCCUAUACAAUUCGGAUUCUAAGACGGUGGUAUCCCAAACGAAUCUCAUCCGACUAUGUGUUUAAACAUUGCACAUGACACCACGUGAUUGUUAAAACAUUGUCACCGUAGUGUAUUGUACAUAUACAUGAUUGUUUUGAAGUAACAUCAUCAUUGUGACAUAUUCAUGACGUAUGCUUAUCUCGCCGACUAGAGUUUCAGAUUCCUAACCAGGCGGGCAUAAACGUGCUUACAGCCUAAAAGGCCUUAACCUCAUAGAUCUGAAAACACAUUUCUGUCGGAGAAAUUGUCAAGAAUAAGAUACGAACUAGAGUUUACUCCGGGCAAGAUACCUGAGAUUUUUAGCCGUUAAAGUCAUUGAAUUCUUGACCAAUGAUCUAACAGCUAAGUUCACAUUGUAUAACCGAGGCACACUACAGAACGUAGAAAAAAAUAAUGGGGAUUAAAACGCUUCAUUGGGUAGAGGGAUAAGUGACAAAACAAUGAGAAAAAACACAUCAAUUGUAUUAGAAAUGCAACUUGCCAAUGUGCACAACAACAAAUGAACAUAGUUGCUACUCCACCGCAAAACCACCUCUGUGUCUGUCAAAUCUUAUUAAUCUCUGCGAGCAGAGGUAGCAAAACAACCUUGAAAAAAAACCCCCCACAACUUUCCAUAUGUUUUUUUUGACACCCCCGUUAACCCCUCAUAAUCAUAAACUACUAAUGACACAUUCUUCAAAGAACACGAAAAUAUAAAAAUACUAAUAAAAGAAAACCCAAAUGGCGCAAUGCCUGUAUAGAGAGAGAGAGAGAGAGCGAGAGCAGCAGAGGCUUAAUUCAAUUCAAUGUUUUGAUUCGAAGGGGUGAAGACUGAAGAGCCGCCAUUAAAGCUUUAAGCUUGGGGCUUGUCCCACUUGAGUGGCUUGACAACCUCCCAGGUGAAGUCGGGGUCAUCCCUCCCGAAGUGUCCGUAGGCGGCGGUCUUCAAAAACCUUCCAUUGCCACCCCUCUUGAG